GAUAAUUCAAAUUCAAUCUUAGAAUUAUCAUGGCUGAAGUGAAGCUUCAUGGGACCCUGCUGAGUCCAUUUGUUUACAGGGUGAUUUGGGCUCUGAAAUUGAAAGGCGUGCCAUAUGAAUUUGUUGCAGAAGAUCUCUCAAACAAAAGUGCUUUGCUUUUGAAGCACAAUCCGGUUCACAAGAAGAUCCCAGUGCUUGUCCAUGGCGGAAAACCAGUUUGUGAGUCCAUGGUUAUUCUCGAAUACAUCGAAGAGACGUGGCCACAGAAUCCCUUGAUGCCAAAUAAUCCUUAUGAUAGAGCUCUUGCUCGAUUCUGGAUUAAAUUCGCCGAAGACAAGGUUCGCUCACAACUCUGGCAAACACGUUUAUGAUUAAGUUCAUUCUUUUCAAAUGUGUUUAUUUAUUUAUUUAUUUACUUUAAGAUCUAGAUGAGGUGACGAGGAUAACGAAAUCCACCCACCAAACACUAAAUCUUACUCUCCAUAUAUACUCGAACUCGGGUGAUGGCGGAAGUGAAUUCAUAGCCAGUCGAGCCCAGCCACCCAGGGGUCUCCUUCAUAUUUAUUUGUAAAAAGUUCUCUAAACUUUCAAUUUCUGGUGUCUUCACUGUUUUAUCCUUAAAUAUGAAAAGAUGUAAUAAGUUAAAGUUAACACAACCGUUUUUAACUUCACGGGGAAUUUUGAUGACUUUUGAAGCAUUGGGAAAAAGUGAAUUUACUAGCUAAUGACAGAUUUUAGAACUCAGUGGUUGAACUCUCUUAAUUAACUUAUUAAACUAAUUAAAGGUUAUUGUGACACGUGUUGUGCAUAUUGUCUAACGAUAUUUCACUUUUAUAUACAUAUUAUUAAUUAAUCAUGUCGGUGAUAAAAUCAGAUGUAAAAUAUUUGUGGCAGGGUGUUGCUGUUUGGAAAAUGUUUCGUAGCACUGGACAAGAACUACAAAACACAAUGAAGGAAGCCUUGGAAAUGCUACAAACCGUUGAAGAGCAUGGCUUGGGAGAGAAGAAAUUUUUCAAUGGAGACAAUAUUGGCUUAGUGGACCUAGCGUUUGGUUCAAUUGUUUAUUGGUUGCAAGUCAUUGAAGAUAUAGUGGGCGCUAAACUAUUUGAAUCACACAAAUUCCCUCACUUGCAUGCCUGGAUUGAAACUUUCAAGCAAGUCACUUUGAUUGAAGAAAAUCUUCCUAAUCAGGAUGAACUAUUGGUUGCUCUCAAACUUCGUCGUGAACAGUUGAUGGCUUCUGCUUGAAUGCAGUAGCAUAAAAUUUGUUUGUAUGUCUCGCUUUGUGUUUGUUUUGCUUUUGUUUUGGUGUCUAGAAACGUUCUUUUUUUUUUCUUUUUUUAAAUUACCGUCUUAUGCUAAGUUCGGGGGACUAGCAUAGUGGUUACUUUUUAUGGAUAUGAAUAAUAAAAUAAGGGACUCGAUUUGUCUAUAUAUAUUAAUUUCUAUCUUUCUCUUAAAAAUAUUCAAAAAAAUAAAUACAAAAUUAUAAGAGUAAAACAUUAAACAUUUAUAUAUCCUGUUUGAGGGUGAUAAUAUUUCCACCCUAUUAUUUUUUAGACACAUCCCACAUCCAAGGGUUGUGUUUUUUGUUGUGUGAAAAUAAAUUUUUUCUUUUAAACAUAUUAUAAAUGUAUUGAUAUAUUUAUUAUCAUAUUUCUAUUGGGACUCAUAAAUAAAUUUUAUUAAAUCAAAGUCCAAAAUUUUACCCUCAAUCCCUAAUUAAUGUUACAACUUCUAACUAUUCAAAUCCGCCCCAGCGUUAGUGCAGCGACGACCUAGAGGGUGGUGGUUUGUUCUUCUUUAGUUGUUGACACAGGAUAUUACAUGGCUUGAGGUUUUCUCGUUGGCACAUUGCUACUCCAACAAUUGGCUUUUGUUAUAUUUUUUUCUUUUGUAAAUUGCUAAACGACGUAGGUUUAGGUUUAACUGUUAUAAUUUAUAAUUUUAGUAACGGUGUUGUCUUUUAAUAGAUAGGAGCCAAAUAAUCUAGAAAUUAAAUUGUUGGGAGAGACAAUGAGCCAUAACAUAGAAUCAGUGAACUUUAGGGUCUCUAAGUAUCCUUUGUCUAAAAUUAUUAAUUAUUAAUUUAAAUGUUUGAAAAUCUUAACACAUUUCACAUUUUGAGCUAGGUUUGUUCAUACGUGGACAAUCAUAUGUGAUUCCUAACCUUUUAAAUGAUAUUAUUUAUCAAGAAAGUCUUAGGUAUUCUCAGGCACCUCAUUAUUAUACUAGCAUGAACAAUACUCCCACCCAAUCAAAAUUUUGUGUUGUUUAACAAUAUUCAAAAAAAUUAAUACAAAAUUAUAAGAGUAAAACAUUAAACGUUUAUAUAUCCAAUUUGAGGGUGAUAAUAUUUCCACCCUAUUAUUUUUUAGACACAUCCCACAUCCAAGGGUUGUGUUUUUUGUUGUGUGAAAAUAAAUUUUUUCUUUUAAACAUAUUAUAAAUGUAUUGAUAUAUUUAUUAUCAUAUUUCUAUUGGGACUCAUAAAUAAAUUUUAUUAAAUCAAAGUCCAAAAUUUUACCCUCAAUCCCUAAUUAAUGUUACAACUUCUAACUAUUCAAAUCGGGCCCAGCGUUAGUGCAGCGACGGCCUAGAGGGUGGUGGUUUGUUCUUCUUUAGUUGUUGACACAGGAUAUUACAUGGCUUGAGAUUUUCUCGUCGGCACGUUGCUACUCCAACAAUUGGCUUUUGUUAUAUUUUUUUCUUUUGUAAAUUGCUAAACGACGUAGGUUUAGGUUUAACUGUUAUAAUUUAUAAUUUUAGUAACGGUGUUGUCUUUUAAUAGAUAGGAGCCAAAUAAUCUAGAAAUUAAAUUGUUGAGUGAGACAAUGAGCCAUAACAUAGAAUCAGUGAACUUUAGGGUCUCCAAGUAUCCUUUGUCCGAAAUUAUUAACUAUUAAUUUAAAUGUUUGAAAAUCUUAAUACAUUUCACAUUUGGAGCCAGAUUUGUUCAUACGUGGACAAUCAUCUGUGAUUCCUAACCUUUUAGAUGAUAUUAUUUAUCAAGAAAGUCAUAGGUAUUCUCAGGCACCUCAUUAUUAUGCUAGCAUGAACAAUACUCCCACCCAAUCAAAAUUUUGUGUUGUUUAGCAUCUCUUUUUGCUUGUAUUUCUAUGCUGUCAAGCAACUUCAAAUGUUUUGUUAAGCUUUUACGUUCAUAUGUUAAAUUUACAACCUGAUUGAUGUUUCACCUUGAUGACCUAGGUUUGAUUCCUAAUCUUUUUUUUUUUAACCACCAAAAAGGUAGGAUUAGGUGGGACCCCUAUCUUUCAUAUAAAUCAUAGAAUGAAUCAAAUAUAUAAGGAGGUGAAUAUAAAUCAAAACCGCAAUUGCAAGAACAUAAGAAUGAAAAAGUAAAAAAUACAAGAUAAAAAAUAGAACACAAAAAUAAGCAAUUAUAUUGCCUGAUAUGUUAAAUUACCCACAAUUCAAACGAAGAUUAUUAGAUAAGCCAGCAGAGAUAUCUUGAGAACCCAAGAAACGCCGAUGAACUUGAAGAGUGUAGGCCAAAGAAAUCAGCAGUAGAAGUAGCCUUUCGAAGCACAUGACUAACCAUGAAGUAGAAGAAAAUGUCAAACUACACACUCGACGCAAAGAAUAGGUAUAGUCUGUAUGAACAAGGCCUUAGAAAAGAAUCCAAGAAGCCACCAUGGCUGAGUCCGACUCUACGUCAAGCACAGUAUAAUGGAGUUGAGCACCAACUCUAACCCCUCAAAAACAGCCAUGAAUUCUGCAUGAAAGAUCAGUUAGCGCCCAAGGAAGGAACCAAAAGCAGCCAAAGCCAAAGCCUAAUCAUCACGUAAAAUACUAUCUGAAGCAGCCAUCCUAGGAUUACUCCUAAAGCAACCAUCAAUAGUCAGCUUCACCACCUCAGGUGGUGACCACAACCAAAAAACUAAAAAAUCAGCCUCCUGGAUGAAACAACAACUCUCAAGCACUUUGCAAAUCGAGAACCUAGAACUCCUCACAGUUGGGAUGGUUUAAGACCAAAGGCAGAAUCGGCAAGCCUAAGAUCCAACAUUGCCCGAUAAAUAACAACAUCAACAAAAAAGGCCAUUGAGUCAAACUUCAAUGCAUUACAGGCCUUCUAAACUCGCCACAAAAUGAAACAAGGAAGAAGAACUCGAAUAUGGCUCCAAGAAAGGGCACAUCACUACCAAUUAAGAAAUAAAGUACGAGGGAACAAAAAAGCAACAUAGCGCAAAUCGAGGGCAAUCAAGAAAGAAAAUACCUAGAAGUCUCAUAAGCCCAACUACAAAGAUACUAAGAAACUAUGCAGAAAUCCCCCGAACAUGAGGCAUCAUCUGUGGUCAAGAAUUUGUGUCACAACCUCUAGAGAAAAAAAGAUAUCCAAGAAAAGAUAUGUCGCUGCCAAAUAACAAAAAAAGCCUCAUCACUUGGCAUUGUCCAAUGCACAAUAUUUGAAGUUGUCUUCAAAGAAAAACUACCAUCAGGAGAAAGGUCCCACAAAAUCACAUCUGGUUCUCCACUAGAGAUAGGAAUCAAAAGAAUCUGCACAACAAUUAAAAACGGCAGCACAUCCUGAAGUUUACCCCUAUCUCAUUGUUGGUAUUUUUUAUCAAAUUCUAUUUAUGCUAAUGUGCAAGUAUACACAACAAGUAAUAACGUGAUUAAUAUUCAAGAUCGUCUCCACAGGGAUUGAUGUUACUAGAAAUGCUACAGCAAUCACGAUAGUGUAAUCUAACUUGAUUCCUAAAUUAACAAAUGUAAAGUUGGUUACUAUUGAAAUUGAUAAUUGUGAGAUAAUAAAGUUAAACAAUGCAGUAAUGAAACAAAUUAAAUAAAAUGCGUCGAAGAAUCAAAUGAGAAUAAGGUAGUUGAAUGAUCAAACUCUCUUUAUAGGCUGACUGCUUUUCAUCAAGUUAACACCAGUUGCUACAACAAUUUCUAUAGCACUUGGUAGAAUUUAAUUUGCAUCCUCAGCUAUCGCAUAUUGGAAGUCUCAUACCCGUAAACAUCUUCGCAAUGACCAGUUGCUAUUUUACCUAUGGCAUGGCAUUAUGAACAUCCAUUCUCUCCACCCUACAAGGUGAAUACUUAUGUCUAGUUUAUCACAAAUCUUAACUUCAAGUAUGGUCCUUAUGGGAUUCAAGAUAAACUUAAUAUAUGAAACUUAAAUUAAGAUCAAAUAUUACUCUAAUAAUAUCCACUAAGACAUGCCCUUUUACAGUCCUAUCUUAACUUGAACCAUUAAAUGGGUGGUCAACCAAAAUAACAGUUAUAAUAAUAGCUGCUAGAGUAAAAUGCUACAACAAUGACAUAGCAACUCAUAAGAACAGUCAAGAACCCAUUAUAUUAUUUGUCACUCAAAUACAAGCAAGUUUAGUUCAUAUUCUGAAAGAGAUAAACAAUCAGCAACAUAUUGUUUAUGAAAUACAUUAGAUCAGUUAGAGAAAGAAGAAAGGUAUAAGUCGAGAACGGCAAAAAGUGAAUCCAAAUAACUCUGCUGGAUUCUUCAAUGAUGUUGCAGCCGUUCCCUUGAAUUAUGAUCUUCUUCUUCUUUUUCUCUCUAAUUUUUCUAAUGAUAAUUCCUUGCCGCCGUAUUAUGUGAUGCGUGCCUCUUUUUAUACUAAAAACUAGGGUAAACAAAAGCCUCGGGCAUGCAUGAGUUAAAUUAGGAAACUACAGAUCGUAAUUACCCCUGUUCCCGGAGCUCUAGUUGUAAACUUAGGUUACAUGAUGCAGGCAGGUACAUGUUAUGUAUCACUUUGACUAUUAUUAAUCCAUCAUGUAACUUAAUUAUAGUGGAUUUUUUUAUUGUGUGUUUAUGCAGCUAAUCACCAAUGACAAGUUCAAAAGUGCCUAUCACAGAGUGUUGUCAAAAAAGGAAGGCUCAAGGAUUUCAAUCGGAAGUUUUUUUAUGAACAACAGUUGCUCGAGACGAUAUGGUCCAAUUAAAGAGUUGCUAUCCGAAGAAAAUCCUACGCUCUAUCCUGCAAUUACUUUAAAAGAUAUUUACAAUAACCAAUCCUCAACAGAAGGACUAUCAGCGUUGGAAAAACUUAAGCUGGAAAGGCGCGGUGGUUAAUUUAAUUGAGGAUGUUUUCCAAUUUGGUGGAUUAGUGAUGAUAGCUUGUUUGUUGUUUGGAAUUGUGACUUCUGUACUUCAAUUGAGCCUACAAAUAAAUGCCAGCUAUACAUUAAAGUUUGGAGUUUUUGAGUCUCUGAGUUUUUUUUUUCCCUCUUUAAACAUGCCGAUAUGAUACGAUAAAAAUUUAUUGCAUUAAUAUUACAACAAAAAUAACUAUAUUUCUUACAUAUUAUUUGAUAAUUUUUAUAAAUUUUCAAGUAUAUUUGUCACUCCACUAAAUAUUAGACAUGCCUCAAAUAAUGACAAUUUGUGCAUGUAUAAAACAUAUAAUGAUGUCUUUUUAAUUAAGCAUUUAGUAUAUAAAAAUGACCUUAGCUUGAUUUUCCUAAUCCAUUGGACCAUAUUUUGCCUAUGAUAUUAUCAUCUUCAUUUAGAUAUCUUUGUACUAGCUUAAUUUUAUUGUUUCUGGAUAUCAUGAUGAAUGUAUUAAGCAUCCGUAUCUAUCAGAAAAUGUAAAUAGUUGAUGACUUAUGUGCUUUUAGCUUCCAUUAGUAACAUAAAGAUUAGGAUGAGUUGUGGUUUGGGCUUUAUUUGUCCAAUUAUUUCUGUUUUCAGUCAGCGGUCUUGUGUGCAUCCCUUUUCUUGUUAUCCAACAUUUGGAAAAGAUUAUCCAACAUUUGGCAUUUGAUAUGAUCCACAAUAUUUCUUCAAACUAGCUAAGUUCCACAUUUUUUUUUUGAUAGUUGUUUGCUGUCUCUAUUCUUACAACCCAAAGUUGCUGAUACCAAUUGCACAUUCUUGAACAAAUCUAAAUUGAAAAGAAUUGAAGGCAAGGCACACAAGUUCCGGUGUUCACUGUGAGUAAUCUUUCCGUUUGAUGUACUCUGCUCUAAUAGCAAUUCCUUUUUCGUUGUUAUGGAAAAAUAUGUUCUCAUUUAAUAUAUUCUAUGCAUCACUGACUACAAUACUAGAUUAUUUCCUUGAGGUUAGCUGAAGUAAAUAGAUUUUUUUAUAAUCAUGAAAUGUCCAUGUGUCAUUGAAUACAACUUCAUGUUCCAUCUUGUUGAGAAACAGUUUAAGAACAGCAGAAUUGGCUUUUUAUGCUGAAAACAGAACAAGAGCAGCAUAAUAAGGCUGUCCAUGUCUCAUUUAUUGGUACUGAUUUUGGACUUAAGUUGCAGUAUUCAUUUAAAGUUGAUAAAGUAAUAGUUCAAGAUAAUAUGAUUUCUAGAUUGCCCUUCUAUUAUUUGUUUGAAUUAAUUCGAAAUUUUUUAGUUCUAUGAUUUUGCAGUUAUGUAAUAUAUGAUUCAAUGAUGUUACUUUCACUCAAUUUGGAUAAAUAAAACAAAAACUUGAACCUGUGCCCCCAAUAGGUUCUUUAUCACCAGGUCAAAGGUCCAAUGGUGUUAACGGGUAUUGCUUAUGUUUUUACUUUUGCAUACUAACUCUUUGAGAUAAGGGUGGAGUUUUUAACACUUCGUUAAAAUUCUUAUAAUAUUCUUUUAAAUUUAUUUUUUAAAAUAUCACAGUUUAAUUUAUAAAAUACAAAUUCAUAUAUUAAAAUCAAUUAUCUUACCAACUCUAAAUGAAUAUUUCUUUUAAGUUUUAUUUAUAAAGUACUAAAAUUUCUUAAAAUUUAAAUUAUUUUCUUUUUAUUAUAUAGUUUCUAUCUCCAUAAUUCUAAACUCUUAUAAGUUUUUAAAAAAUUAAAAACUAAAAUAUAAAUAUAAAUAUAAAUUAUGAAAUGGGAUGGGUGAAAAAAAAUUUAAUAGAAAUUUUUUAAUUGUUUAAUUGGAUUUCUAGUUAAAGUAAGAAAUGAAUUAAUUUAUCUUUGAUUAUUUAACUAACUUCUAUUAACAAGGGGUUUUAUGAGGAAUUUUGAGGGGUGUCAAAAGGUCUAAUCUUGGAACAAAUCUAGCCGAGUGCGUUUGAAUUGAUUAUUUGGGUGAUGUCGUGUAAGAGUAAUUAAUACUUUUCACACCCCUUUAAAAUCCUUGUAAAUCCGCAUUUUUUGUGAACAUAGUUCUACUGCUAGAGAAGGACAAUUAUGAAUUUAACUAGAUUAAAAUAUCUUUAUACCUGCUAAUUAUGAACUAUCCCAUCUCUAAAUCCUAAUGAGUAAUAAUAUAGCCACAAAUUCUUCUAUAAAUUUAUUUUAUAUAAACUGAUGUGGUAUGAUAAAAUUGGUUGAAUUAAAUAUUUCUUGACCCACAUGAUUUAUUUUUAUUAUUUUAUGUUUUCAUUCAACCAAUGAAUUAAUGUCAAAUCAAUUUGUACAAGACUCAUUUAUUGGUACUGAUUUUGGACUUAAGUUGCAGUAUUCAUUUAAAGUUGAUAAAGUAAUAGUUCAAGAUAAUAUGAUUUCUAGAUUGCCCUUGUAUUAUUUGUUUGAAUUAAUUCGAAAUUUUUUAGUUCUAUGAUUUUGCAGUUAUGUAAUAUAGGAUUCAAUGAUGUUACUUUCACUCAAUUUGGAUAAAUAAAACAAAAACUUGAACCUGUGCCCCCAAUAGGUUCUUUAUCACCAGGUCAAAGGUCCAAUGGUGUUAACGGGUAUUGCUUAUGUUUUUACUUUUGCAUACUAACUCUUUGAGAUAAGGGUGGAGUUUUUAACACUUCGUUAAAAUUCUUAUAAUAUUCUUUUAAAUUUAUUUUUUAAAAUAUCACAGUUUAAUUUAUAAAAUACAAAUUCAUAUAUUAAAAUCAAUUAUCUUACCAACUCUAAAUGAAUAUUUCUUUUAAGUUUUAUUUAUAAAGUACUAAAAUUUCUUAAAAUUUAAAUUAUUUUCUUUUUAUUAUAUAGUUUCUAUCUCCAUAAUUCUAAACUCUUAUAAGUUUUUAAAAAAUUAAAAACUAAAAUAUAAAUAUAAAUAUAAAUUAUGAAAUGGGAUGGGUGAAAAAAAAUUUAAUAGAAAUUUUUUAAUUGUUUAAUUGGAUUUCUAGUUAAAGUAAGAAAUGAAUUAAUUUAUCUUUGAUUAUUUAACUAACUUCUAUUAACAAGGGGUUUUAUGAGGAAUUUUGAGGGGUGUCAAAAGGUCUAAUCUUGGAACAAAUCUAGCCGAGUGCGUUUGAAUUAAUUAUUUGGGUGAUGUCGUGUAAGAGUAAUUAAUGCUUUUCACACCCCUUUAAAAUCCUUGAAAAUCCGCAUUUUUUGUGAACAUAGUUCUACUGCUAGAGAAGGACAAUUAUGAAUUUAACUAGAUUAAAAUAUCUUUAUACAUGCUAAUUAUGAACUAUCCCAUCUUUAAAUCCUAAUGAGUAAUAAUAUAGUCACAAACUCUUGUACAAAUUUAUUUUAUAUAAACUGAUGUGGUAUGAUAAAAUUGGUUGAAUUAAAUAUUUCUUGACCCACAUGAUUUAUUUUUAUUAUUUUAUAUUUUCAUUCAACCAAUGAAUUAAUGUCAAAUCAAUUUGUACAAGAUAAGUUUGUACAAGAGUUUGUGGCUGUAUCAUCACCAAUCCUAAUUUAUAACAUAAUAAAUUUCUUAUGCAAACUCAAAUAAUUUUGAGACAAUGAAGAAAUAAAUUACCUAAUGAUAGAUUUUUUAUUUUAAAAAAGUAUGUUAAAUUUUAAUUAACUCUAUCAUAUUAUUCUGUCUUUUUAAAUAAUUUUUUAAAAGCAAGUGUUACAAAUGCAAUAGUAGAAUUUCACAAGAAUUUUAAAGGGAUGUUAGAAGCUCAAACUGGCUAUAUAAUUAGAAAGCCCAAAAUCAAAACAGAUCGAAUUGACGAAGAUGACUUUGACAAAAUGAGCCCAGAUAAACAAUCUUCACAUGCACAUUUGUAAGUUCUUUUUGCCCCCCUUGUAGUUUGAGAGGGGUUAAAUGCCAAUUAAUUAAGUGAUAAUUUGGGUUUUGUCAACUUUUCUAAUAUAUAUGCUUCAUAUACUUGAAAUGUUGCAUGCAAGUCCAUUACUUUGUGGUUAACUGGUUAUUGAAUUGGAUUUUCGCAUUUUGUGAGUGAAGUUGCCAGUUGUAUUAUUGACCUGUUGCCAAUGAAAAUGGAUAAAUAUCCCAGUAAAUUUUCCACAAUGCUUACGAGGCUUUAUUAUUCAUAGACUCUUCUAAUCAUUCAUUUUGUUAUUAUAUAUUGUCUUGGCUGUUUGUUUUACUCUCAAGCCCUAAAGGGACUCAAGUGACUAAAGUCCCCCAAUGGAAAAUUUUCUCUCUUUAUAGCCUUUGAAAAAUAUUAUUUGAGCCCUUAAUAAAUGUUAAUUAAACCGCCGAUGAUUUACUCUAUUUUUGUAGAAUAACAGUGAUUGUUUGAGAUGUAUAUUCAUAUUUGAGUUGUUUUGUGACGUUGGUAAUAGUUUAGUGGUACUAGUGGUAGUGUAUGUCGUUGUUGCAGGCACUGUACUGGAUUUUUCUUUUGAUUAGAAGGUAGUUUUUAUUUAUAAUAACUAGGACGGGUAGGCUAGUCCCUUAAAAUUUUUAUAGUUUUUCAUAGGACUUUAAUGUGUAGAAUCUUUUAUUCUCCUUUCAAUUUUAGAUUUUAUAGUGUUUAUAAUUGUGUUUUGUGAACCACUAGGGCUUGGCCUAAGUGGUUAGAGCCACUCUCUCACAAGUGCUCGAAGUAGUUCGAGUCCCUGCAGACCUAUUGUAGGGGGUUUAAUUUAAAUUUUCUUUCUUGAAGCUUCAGAGCUUGAGCGAAGACAGUUUUUUUUUUUUCAAAAGGGGAGUUGGCAUCCCUCGAAUAUUUGAGAGAGUUAAAAAGCAAUAGUUCUCCUUUAAAAAAAAAAUGUGUUUUGUGAUUAGACAUUCUCCGAACUUAGGUUUAAAUCUUAGGCAUUAUCCUAAUUUAUAAUACUUACGCCAAAUAUGAUCUUGUAUGUGCACCCAACUGGCAAUAUAUUGCUGGUCGUUUAUACCAUCUAAAAUAUAUUUAGCUGUGCAAUAAAUGAUUUCGGCUUGUUAGUAAGUACAAUUCAUUCUUUAAUUUGUACUUAAAAAUAAGGAGGUAGACUUCCACGGUCUGUCCACGAUAGUUAAGUCCCAAAGACAAUUGAAGUAAAACCACUUGGGCUAAGCUCAAAUGGCCAGAGUCACUCCCCCACAAAUGUGAGGGAAGUGGUUCGAGCUUCCGCAAACGCAUUGUUGGAAUUUAAUUUCAAUUUUCUUCUUUGGAGUCCUAGAGCUUAAUGAAGGCAGUCUUUCUCCCAGGAUGGGAGUUGACGUCCUUCGAAUAUUUGAGAGGGUUAAAAAUCUGAGCGGUGCCAUAUCAGAAUUGAUAUAAACGGGUCUCAGUAUAUAUAUGAUUGUAAAUAUCAUCAUGAGCAAUAGUUCUCAUUAAAAAAAAAAAGACAAUUGAAGUAAGAUUCAUUAUUUUUUAAUUCAGUCGGUGAUGAAGUAGUACUAUUACUUUUUAUAUCUAUUAUUUUUUAAUUAAAUAAGUGGGGUCCCACGUUAAACCUACUAAACCUAUCAAAAUAAUAAACUUUUAUUGUUCGAAUGCACUACCUUGACGUAAUAAGGUGGUAUAUCGAGCCCACACAAAUUUCCACGGUAUCAGGAAUCAGGAUUCACAGGUGGAAAUAUUUGCAAAUAAAAUAAGCAAUUUCUGAAGCCACAGCGUUUCCAUGUUCUCAGGAGCUUCAGGAUUGGUUCAAAAGACGGGUAAGACAUCACCUCUGUUUUUGUAGGGCUGCCGCAUUUACCUCAGGUAACAUUUUGCUUAUGGCACCUUAGGUAAUCAUAUCGUUUAAAAAUCUAUUUAUUUAUAAUUUACGUACAUACGUAAAUUAUAUAGUAUGCCCACAAUUUUAAAGAAAGAUGUGCUUAUGAAAUAGUGAAAAAUAGAAUAUUAGGGAGACACGAAUGUAAAAAGCCUUAAAAGCCUAAAAGUCUUGAAAGAGAAAGAUGAAAGAAUUAUGUGAAUUUCAAAUAAGGACAUAUUGAAUACUAAAAAUUGGUUGGUAAAAUAAAAUAAAAUAAUUUAAUUUUUUAAAUGAAUUUAUUGAAUAAAUACAUUUAUUAAGCAUUCUGGUAGUUUUUGUUUUUAUGAUACUCAAUUUUAUUAAGGAAAGAAGGAGAAGAAAGAAUGCAAAAACACUCAUUUGAAAUGAUAUUUAGGGAUAUCCCAAGCAUACUCAUGCAAACUCUGACGAAUUGAAAUAGGAGGAUUAUCCCACCAAUUAUGAGCAUUAAGAUUUAACUCCAAAUUUGCAAGACUAUCAGCCACUGAAUCCCCUCUCUCUAGAUGUGUAAACUAGCAAAGUGUAUUCCACGAAUAAAUCUCAAACAAUUCAAUUAUAUGAUAUGCAGAUGCUACGGCGGCUUGAAUUUGGUACUCGUAAGACAAGCUAAAGUUGAAACCGAGUCCCUCUCCAACCAAAUAACAUUCCAACCUUUUCAAAGCCGCAAGCUCAUUAGCCUUUAAAAUAACAAAUAUUUUAGUAGGUUGAAAUAAUCUCACACUAUAUAAAUUUGUAAUUUCAACUUUCAAACUAGUUGUUUUUCUUUAUAUGGUGGUUUCAUAAACGUGAACUGUUAGAUUUAUUUCUCACAUUAUGUGGACUGACAUAAAUCAUUCUAAUUCUGCUGUACGGCCAAGGCGGAUGUACGGUACAGCAGCCAAUGGAAAAUUUUCAUCUGGAUAGAUGCAAUAUUAUGAUUUUUUUUAAAUAUUUUGUGUCUUGCUUUAUGCUUGUUUUGUUUUUGUAUUGGUGUUAAAAAGAGUACUUUUGCUUUGUUUAAUUUUACUAUUGCGGCAAGUGAUAUUAUGAAAAGGAUUUGAUCUAAUUUAUGGGUAUCAUCUGGCUGAAAGCAAGAGAUCUGAGAUUCGCACCCUACUAAAAUGGGUGGGGAAGCGACUAGGUUUUUGUUAGGUUAAAAAAUAAAAGAAAUAAAAAAAAUAAAAGGAAUGGAAUAAGAUCAUUAAAUAAAUAAAAGGGUAUUCUACACAAUUUAUUCUUUAAGUACUAUGACUAUCACUCUCAAAAAUCUAAUUUUUAAGGUUUUACUAAUAGAAACAAAAUAACUUAUUUAAUCUUCAAAAGUUAUACUCAAAAUACAAUCAAACUAUCGAAGUUGUCCCACAUGGGUUGUGAAAAGGGCUAUUGGUGAUUUUAUAAAUAUCAAGAAAAUCUCACCCCCGAAGCUAGCUUUUGGGGUUGAGAGAAGUUUAAGACUACCUAACACUAGUAUCAGUGUCCACAUUCACCAACAAUCUCAAUCCAACAAUCUAAUAAAGAGAACGAGUGUCUAUCUUCUGACCCAAGGCCCGAUGUGUGAGGGGAAUUGUUGGAGUUAUCCCACUGUUGGGCGUUAGAUAUUUUAUACUAAACAAACACUACGUUAGAUAGAAAAUUAAAAAUAUUAAAAAUAAUUUUGAUUGAAUUUUUUUCAUAACAAAUUACUAUAUUGACUUCCAAUGUGGACACAUGCACAAAAGGAAAAUAUCUUGUUAAUUGAUCAAUGAUCAUCUGACGCAAAGAUAUUAAAUGAUAAAAAUUUGAUUAAUUAAUGCGUGGUUAAUUAUCUGACUAGUUUAUAUUAACCAUCCAAAUACAGACGUAAUUAAUUUGCACACAAAGUUGAAAACAUGUAUUUUGUUGAAAUCUUAUUGGCUCUUUGAAUUCAUCAUUAAUCGUCUUAUUAAUGGAAAUUUGAAGCUUUCGGCUAAGUGCUAAAGAAAGCACAUUCCAUAAAUCACUAUAAACUCAGAAACAUAUGUAAUAAAUUAUCAGCUAUACUCAACAUCAAAUUCAAUCUUAGAAUUAACAUGACUGAAGUGAAGCUUCAUGGGGUAUUGCUGAGUCCAUAUGUUUACAGAGUGAUUUGGGCUCUGAAAUUGAAAGGCGUGCCAUACGAAUUUGUUGCAGAAGAUCUCUCAAACAAAAGUGAUUUGCUUUUGAAGUAUAAUCCAGUUUAUAAGAAGAUCCCUGUGCUUGUCCAUGGCGAAAAACCAGUUGUUAGUGCAUUCCUAUGUUGCUAAAGGAUGCCUAACAUAUUGUGUUGCUAUUGGAGAAACUUAGAAUGAGGAGCAAUUGAUUAUAGCAUGAUUUUAAUUUUUGCAUGCUUGAUAAUUCUUUUGUUAUUGCUUCCUCAGCUCUAGAUAUUCUCUCCUUUCUCCAAGUAGCCUCCCUCAAGAAUUUAACUGGGAAAAAUUUUGAGGACUAGCGUGAGUCCAUUUUGUUUUAUUUGUCUACACUGAAUAGAGACUUGGCAUUAAGAGUUGAUGAACCAGCCAAGCCCACAGAUAAGAGCACUGCUGCUGAAAAAGCAGAGUGGGCAGCUUGGGAUGAAUCCAAUAGACACUGUCUGGAUACAAUGAAAUACACCAUUGAUAGAACAACUAGAGAUAGCAUCCCUGCAUGUGAUAAGGCCAAAGAUUACUUGGCAGCUGUUGGAAGAACUUUUAAGAAGGUAGAUAAGGCAGAAAAGGGUAACUAUCUGAGGCUGCUUGCUAACACUCAGUAUGAUGGUGUUUCUGGAGUGAGAGAGCACAUCCUUAAGAUGACNNNNNNNNNNNNNNNNNNNNNNNNNNNNNNNNNNNNNNNNNNNNNNNNNNNNNNNNNNNNNNNNNNNNNNNNNNNNNNNNNNNNNNNNNNNNNUAUUGUCUAAUUUUUUUAGCAUACAACAUAUAUAUUAAUCAUGUGGUGAUAAUAAUUAGAUUAAAAAAUACUGUGGCAGAUUGUUGCUAUUUUGGGAUUGUUUCGUAGCAUUACUGGACAAGAACUAGAGAAUGCAACGAAGGAACUCUUGGAAAUCCUACAAACCCUUGAAGAACAUGGGCUGGGAGAGAAUUUUUUUUUCAAUGGAGACAAUAUUGGCUUAGUUGACAUAGCAUUUGGUUCAAUGCUUUUUAGGAUGCAAGUCAUUGGAGACGUAGUGGGAGUUAAACCAUUUGAAUCACACAAAUUUCCUAGCUUGCAUGCCUGGUUUGAAAAUUUCAAACAAAUCCCUGUAAUUGAGGAAAACUUUCCUAAUAGGGAUGAAUAUUUUGUUUAUAUCAAACGUCGCCGUGAAGAGCUGUUGGCCUCUGCUUGAAUGCAGUAGCACAAAGUUUGUUUGUAUGGCUCACGUGUGCUUGUUUUGUUCUUGUAUUGGUGUUUAAAGCAGCUCUUUUUUUCUAUGUUUUUGUUAUUGUCUAGUUCCAAGCUCGGGAGGCUAGCUGACCGGGUCACCGGGGUACUUUGAAUAGAUAUGAAUAAUAAAAUAAGGGACUCAAUUUGUAUAUAUUAAUUUCUAUCUUUCUUUUAAUGAUAUUUAAAAAUUAAAAAAAAAUUCUAAGGGUACAACAUUCCACAAACAAUACACACAUGCGCGCGCGCGUACACACACACAUAUAUAUAUAUAUAUGAGGGUGAGGGUGGUGAUAUUUCCACCCACUACUUUUGUAAACAUUCAUAUCCAAUGGUUGUAUUUUUAUUUUGUUUGAAAAUAUGUUUUUUUUUAAUAUGCUACACUUGUAUUGAUGCCUUUAUGAUCAGGUUUCUAUCGGGACUCAUUUUAAAUUUACCCUCACUAAUUUGUGGAGAUGCGCUGUAAGUUUCUCUAAUUAAUAUAACUUUUAACAACUCAAAUCUUGCAGAUACUAUUUAUCGAGAAAGUAUUGUGAGUUCUCGAAAUAGCACAAUAUUAUGCUAGCGUGAUCAUAUCCUACCCAAUAAAAAUUUCGAGUUCUAUUAUUCAGCAUCUCUUUUUGCUUGUGUUUCUAUACUGUUAUGCAACUUCAAAUGUUUUGUUAAGCUUCGAUGUUUGUAAGUUAAAUUUACAAGGUUUAUGAUGUUUUAUCUUGACGAAGUAAGAAUUGAACUUAAUUUGUAUUUAAUUAUCUAGAACUUACAUUUUGUAAGUAAUUUUUCUUAUUAUGCAUUGUAGAUCUGUUCUAACGAUUCACAAUAAAUGCAAUGAUUUUGACUAUUUUUCUACUAUCAAACAAAAAUGAAAGCAAGUACUUGUGUUUCAAAGGUAUAGUCAAAGAGAGCAGCUGGGAACCUUGAUUUGCUGGGCACCUAGGCACUCAAAUACAACUGAUCCAUGAUCAUCAUGCAUGACGCAAUAAGUUAAAUAAAGCAUCGAUCAUGCAUGACGCAAAUAUUAAAUUGGGAAAGAAAUGUCAACUGUAUAAUUGAUACACGGUUAUCUGAGUAGUUGACCAAAUUAAUGAUCUCAUUAGCUAGCCUUUUUAAUUAAUCAAAAUAUAGAUGUAAUUUGAAAAUUAAUAAAAACAUGACCCCUCUUUUAAAUUGAAAAUAGGAUCACUUGUGAAUUCAGCAUCGUUAAAGAAUAUGAGAGAAAGGGAUGAUCCUAAUUUAUUAAAUACAUAGCGAUUAAAAAAAUGAAAAAGAAAAAUAGUGGCAGGGUGCAGCUGUUUCGAAAAUGUUUUUUUCACCAACUGACAAGAUCUAGAGAAUACAAUGAAGGAAGCCUUGGAAAUGCUUCCAACUGUUGAAAAAUAUGGCUUAGGAGAGAAGAAAUUUUUCAAUGGAGACAAUAUUGGCUUCGUGGACCUAAUAUUUGGAUCGGUUCAAGUCCUUAAGAUAUAAUAUAUAAUACCUAUUUGAUAUGAUUUAUUUAAAGGUUAUAAGUACUUGUUUAAUUUUAAUUUUUUUUUCAAAAUUUUUAUUGUUGUUUGGUUUUAUUUUCAGUCGAGCUUAUGAGAAUUAAAUAAGUUAUUUUUACUCUACCAAUAAGUGCUUAAAUUUUAAAUUUUUAAGAGUAGAGAUUAGAAUACUUUUUUAAAAUGUUAGAUUGUCUAGUAUGCUCAUUAUCUAUUUUACAUUCUUAUUUUAUCCAUAUAUAUUUCGUAGGGAGAUUGCCAAUUUCCCCCCUACAGUAAUCAACAUAUACCAUUUUCCCCCAUGUUGUUUUUAUAAUGGCCAAAAAUCCCCCUGACAGCAUAAGUUGCACAUAUAUUUCUUGUUUUUAGUACUUAAUUUUUUUAUUUAGUUUCUAUUCAUGUAAUUUAUUUAAUUUAAAAUAAAUGUAAAUAAAAGAAUAAUUAAAAAUAAUGGUAAUAUUAUAAAUUUAUGUUGUCAGGGGGAUUUUUGGCCAUUAUAAAAACAGUAAGGGGGUAAAUAGUAUAUGCAAAUUACUGUAGGGGGAAGUGGCAAUCUCCCUAUUUCAUAAUAUAACUUAAAAAACUUAUCUACUAAAUUAAUUUAAUAAUUUGUAAAGCUCUUUUGACAAGCAAUGAAUCAGACAACUAUUUUUUUGGGGUAAAAACUCUACUAUUUUAAAGUCUAUUUAAAUAAUUUAUAUUUAAAAAUUAUGUGUUCUAAACUAUCAUAUAAGGUUAAGCCCAAUUAAAAGUAAUUUAUUAACAUAUUUGAUAAAUUAAAAGUAAUUUAUCAAGGUAUACGGUAAUUUGGGCUUUAAUUGGGCUUUAAUAUAUCUAAUAAGGUGUGAAUCUUUAAUGUAUAAAGCCUUAAGGAUAAUUUCUAUUUCUAAAUGAUGGGCUAAAAUAGGAAUAUUUAAAUACAAUAGAAAAAAUUGUCUAUAUUAGUGAUUAUAAUGCCCGUGUCACACGUAUCAUUGUUCUAUUCUCUUCUGAAAUCCCAUUAUUAGAGAAAGUGCAGUGACAAACUUAAAGGAUUCUCUGAGAUAACAUGUUGAUAUAGAAGAUUAACCACGCAUCCAUAGAAAGCAAUUGGGCAUUAUGAAUUCGAGUAUGCUUCUGCAUAUUCUGUAAUUGAUUCUUAAUGGUAUAACAAAAAUAUUUUUGGAUUAUAGGUGAUGGUUCUCACUAAGAGAUUAUUAUUCCAACAGGUAGUCCCUCCCCCAAAUUGAUCAUCGUAACUUACAGUUUCGCUAAUAAGAUUAUGCUUCAUUUUGAAUAACUUUUCAAAUAGAACAUAUUCAAAUAGAGAUUUUUACUAAAUUAAUUAUUAGUUAUUUGAUUGUUACUAAGAGUUUUUAAUUAAAAUUGUAAAAUUACUUUAAUUGACAACUUUUAAAGUUAUAUAUUAUAAAAGGAAUGGUUUAAUUUGUAGUUGUCAUAUAACUAAAAACAAGAGGUUUAGGGUUCGAACUUUGUUCACAUGGGAGAGGAGGGUAUUGAGUUGCCAUUAGGCUAAACAAUAAAAAAAAUUUAAAAAUGAAAGAAAUAGAAUAAGAUUAUUAAAUAAAUAAAGGGUAUUUCAAAUAAUUUAUUUUUUAAAUAAGCUCUACAACCUUUGUUCUAAAAAAUCUAAAAUUUAAAGUUUCGCUAGUAGAAAUAGAAUAGCUUCUUUAAUAUUCAAAAGCUCUACUCAAAAUCCAACCAAACAACACUAAAUUUUGAAAUCAAAUAAUCAAGUACUUUUAGCCGGUAGAUACUUCGUACUAAACAUGGACUAAGUUAGAUAGAAAAUUGAAGAAAAAAACUAAAAAGUAAUUUUAAUUGAAUUUUUUUAUAACAAAUUGCUAUGUGUGCCGUGUGCGGUCCAGUGCGCAAAAGGAAAGUGUCUUUUUGACUAAUUGAUCCAUAAUCAUCAUCCAUGACGCAAAGAUAUUAAAUGGGAAACAAAUGCCAAAAAUUUGAUUAAUUGAUCCGCGGUUAUCAGCUGACUUGUUUAUAUUAACCCUCCAAAUAUAUACGUAAUUAAUUUGCACACAACUUUGAAAAUUUUAUUUUGUUGAAAUAUAUUAGUCCCUUGAAUUCAUCAUUAAUCGUUUUAUUAAUGGAAAUUUGAAGCCUUCUGCUAAUUGCUAAAGGAAGCACAUUCCAUAAGUCACUAUAAAUUCACAAACAUAUGGAAUGAGUUAUCAGCUAUACUCAACAUCAAAUUCAAUCUUAGAAUUAACAUGGCUGAGGUGAAACUUCAUGGGCGAUUGCUGAGUCCAUUUGUUUGCAGAGUGAUUUGGGCUCUGAAAUUGAAAGGCGUGCCAUACGAGUUUGUUGCAGAAGAUCUCUCAAACAAAAGUGAUUUGCUUUUGAAGUAUAAUCCAGUUCACAAGAAGAUCCCAGUGCUUGUCCAUGGCGGAAAACCUGUUUGUGAGUCCAUGAUUAUUCUCGAGUACAUUGAAGAGACGUGGCCACAGAAUCCCUUGAUGCCAAAUAAUCCUUAUGAUAGAGCUCUUGCUCGAUUUUGGAUUAAAUUCGCCGAAGACAAGCUGGUUCGCACCACAACUCUAGCAAUCCCGUUUAUAAGUGUAUUCUUUUCAAAUUUGUUUAUUUAUUUUAUGGUUUAGAUGAGAUCAUGAUAAUAAGAAACUUCACCCACUAAACCACCAACUCUUAUUCUCUAUUACUCAGAUGAUGCACGUAAAGCACGUUCAUAGUCAGUCGAGCCUAGCUGCUCAAGGGCCUUUUUCAUAAUUUAUUCGUGAAAAAUUCCUUAACUUUCAACUUUUUGGUCCUUCACUAUUUUUUCUCUAGCAAUUUUUAUAAAUCAUUAGUGGAUUAACUUCCUCGGGUGUAAAUUACUGAAAGACACAUUUUUGAUUAUUUUCAAAACAUUUAAGGAAAAAGUAAUGAAUUUACUAACUCUCUUAAUUGACUUAUCAAACCUUUAAUUAAAGGAUAUUGUGACGUGUGUACACAUUGUCUAAGUUUUCGAGCUUAGUAUUAAUCAUGUGGAGAUAAUUUAGAUUUAAAAAAAAAAUUAUUGUGGCAGGUUGUUGCUAUUUUGAAAUUGUUUCGUAGCAUUACUGGACAAGAACUAGAGAAUGCAAAGAAGGAAAUCUUGGAAAUCCUACAAACCCUUGAAGAACAUGGCUUGCGAGAGAGGAAUUUUUUCAAUGGAGACAAUAUUGGCUUAGUUGACAUUGCAUUUGGUUCAAUGCUUUAUUGGAUGCAAGUCAUUGGAGAUGUAGUGGGAGUUAAACUGUUUGAUUCACACAAAUUCCCUAGCCUGCAUACGUGGUUUGAAAAUUUCAAGCAAGUCCCUGAAAUUGAAGAGAACUUUCCUAAUCGGGAUGAACAUUUGGUUUAUCUCAAACAUCGCCGUGAACAGUGGGUGGCCUCUGAUUGAAUGCAGUAGCAUAAAAUUUGUUUGUGUAUCUCACUUUGUGCUUGUUUUAUUUAUGUACUGGUGUUUGAAGAUGUUCUUUUCUCUUUGUUUUUGUUAUUGUCUUGUGUCAAGAUCAGAAGGCUAGCUUACCAGGGUACUUUUUAUAGUUAUGAAUAAUAAAAUAAGGUACUCAAUUGCUCUACAUUUCUAUCUUUUGUUAACAAUAUUUUAAAAAAUAUAUAUGAAGCUUAUAAGGGUACAACUUUACACAUUUAUAGAUCUAAUCAAUGGGUGAGGGUAUUUCCACCACAUUACUUUUUUAAAAAUAAUAUGAACUUUUAUUUGAAUUUUUGAAAAAUAAUAUGAACUUAUUGUUAAUUAUUUAUUGAAACUAGAGCGAAAUGAAAAUGAUUAUUUAUUGGAAAUGAGGUGAAAUGGAAAUAUCAACCACCCUAAUUCAAAAUAAGAAAUUAUUGAUGCUCCACCUCUAUAUUAUCAAAUAUACAUGAAGAAUUCUCAUAAUUGAUACGCACCAUAUAUGUUUUAAAAUUUUGCAUCAACUAACAACUUUGCUAUUAACACCGUUAGUUAGUAUGUUGAAGAAUUUUUACAAAAUGAUCAUUUUACACUUGAUACUCUGCAAUGCAUUAAAGGGCCAGUUUGAAACUUUUAAAAAAAUAUAUCUAAUUACUAAAUUAACUGAAACUUUGAAAAAAAUUUAAACAGACAAGCAAACCGUCAAAUCUAACCAUUUUACCCCCGGACACACCUUCAAUUAUUUUUAAAAUUGAAAUAUUUAAGAUAAUAUGUUGCAUGAUUCAGAUGAUAAUUCGAUUAAUAUUUUUUGAAUUUGUUACUUAUUUUAUUUAAAUAAAUAUUUGGACGAAUUAAAAAAAAUUAAUAAAGUGAACAGGAUCUGACGGCUAGUCAAUAUUGAGCAAGUAUUAAGCAAGAUUUGUUUCCAACAAUUUAAGCCUUGAUGAAUGACAAAUCAGGAGUCUCGUUGGUAUGGACCAAGAUAGUUGAGCAUUUGAUUCAGCACUUGACCGAGAGAGUUGCAUAUCUGCCACCUGAUUCUGGUAUGAUUGAGCAAUUGCUGGUAAUUUAUGAGUUUCUUCAUGCAUGGGAACCCACUUAAAUGAAUUCGGAUUAUUUGUAUUCUUUGUUUGUCUUACUGUUCAAAACUUCCGUAUAUAGUAAAAGAAUCAAACGUUUUAUUAAGGGAAAUCUGAUCUAAGCUUUCUGAUUGCUUAAGCAAGCACACUUCAUCAAUUACGAUAAAUUAAUUCAGAAACAUUUGCAAUGAGUUAUAUCAGCCGGCUACUGAAACAACCACACACAAACAUGGCUGAUCUAUAUUCUUACACAGAGUGAAAUGUGCUCUAAUAUUGAAAGGCAUACCAUAUGAAGAUAUACAUUGAUGAAGAUGAUUUACUCUCAAACGGAAGUACUUUGCUUUUGAAUUACCAUCCAGUUCACAAAAAGGUCCUCGCUAGUGCUUGUUCAUGGCGAAAACCCAGUUUGUGAGUCCAUGGUUAUUAUCGAAUACAUUGAAGAGAUGUGGCCACAGAAUCCCUUGAUGUUGAAUGAUCCUUAUGAUAGAGCUCUGGCUCGUGUUUGGAUUAAAUUUGCCGAAGACAAGGCUCGCAUCACUGCUCGAGCUAACAUGUUUAUAAGUUUUUUCUUUUCAUGUUUGUUUGUCAUUAGAGAAAAUGAUCAAAAUACCUCUACUAUUAAUCAAAGUUAAUCAUUUCUCAUGUGGGAUUUUAAAAUCCAUCAAAACCGCUUUUACUGCUAAAAAAGUGUUUACCCCUAAAAUGUUUGAUUAUUCAAUUGGGGUUUUACUACAUCAAGAAAGAAAUGGUAAAAGAGAUAGAAAAAUUUGGAAGUUAGAAGUUGAAAGUGAACUUUUUCUAAACGUAUGAUAUAUAUAAAGGUGGAAAACUAUUAAUUCACUGAAUUAACAAAGUGGUUUUGAUCAUUUUUCCCUGUGUCAUUGAGACUUAUAGUGGUUAAAUUAUAUUAUCGGCUUAUCAAACUUCUAAUGGAUACUGUGACAAGUAUACAUAUAGUAUUAGGUUUUUUUUUUAGCUUAUAUAUAUUAAGGUAGCAAUAUUUCCACCCUACAAAAUCUGUAAAUCCACCCCACUUCUAAAAUUUAAUGAUAAAAAAUUUACAUUAUUUCUAAAAAUUUCAAAUAAAGAAGAAUUAUGAAGAAUUAAUUUGUUAAAUCUUUCUUAAAUUCUUAAUUUAUUUUGUGUAACUUAGUUUUUUUUAAAUAUAUUUAACAACUAAGAUUGCUUUGGCCUAAAUUUAAAUUGAUUAUUUUAUCCUUAAAAUGUAAAAGCACCAAAAUUUUACUCUAACUUUAAUUUUUUUAUUUUAUACAAAAUUCAUUAUUUCUAAAUGGUCAAUUCUACUUUACUUGUAUGAUUAUUAACCUUUAAUUAGACUAACACAAUGUUUUUAUGAGCCAAUACUUAUAUAAAUUAUUAAGUUUUCAAAUUUAUGUCAUUUACAUGUAAAAUAUUAAAAAUUAUUAAAUUUCAUUUAAAAAGUUAGAUUAUUAGUCAUAAAAUUAAGUACCUAAAGUAUUAGAUAUAAUAAUACAUAUUUCUUCAGGUAAUUAGGUCAUUUUAUAUCAUAAAGAUAAAAUAAUUAAAUUAAACUUAUAUUAAAGCAACCUUAAUAAUUAAAAAAAAAAUGUAAGAGUGAUUUAAUUGAUUAAUUAUAUAAAUAUUUUUGUUGAUUUAUAUUUACUAGAAAUAAUGUGUAUUUAUUGUAAAUAUUUUUUAAAAGUGAGGUGUGUCAAUGGGGUGGAAAUAUCCCCACCAUAUAUACUAUUAAUCAUGUCGCUUAAAAAUAUCUAUCAAGUCCCUGAAAUUGAAGAAAAACGGGAGAAGAUGUUGGUCUAUUUCAAAUGUUGUCGGGAAAAGUUAGCCGCGCCUGCGUGAACAGUGAAUAUUGUAGUAUCAUAAAAUUUGUUUGUUAGUGUUGCUUUGUACUUGUUCUGUUUUUGCAUUAAUUGUUGUCAAAGAAUUCUUUACACUUUGCUGAAUUUGACUGCCAAGUAUUAAGACGAGCUUACUCGUAAUUUUUUUAUGGACAGGAAAUAAUAAAAGUGACUAAAUUUAUUUUUAUUUUUAUUUUUAUUUUUCCUCCUAACAACAUUACAAAAGAGUGACAAAAUAACCAUCAAAACUACAUAGUUUUUUUUUUCUAGUUUUUUUAAACAAUCAAAAUGACUUGUUUUUGGUGGUUAUUUGCCACCCUUUUUGAUAAAUUUUUGGUAGACCUCAGUCGGCAGUACUGAUCAGUAAGAAAAAACACUUGUUUGUUCUAAUUACAGUUCUAUUUUUGUUUUGUGUGAAGAUAAGUUGGAAUUUGGAAACAAAGAUGAAAAUUUGUCAUAUCUCAACUAGGCCACACAUCUAAAAGAAAAAAAGAAAUGAUUAAAACAAAGUCUUAUUUGCACAAUUAAAGUAAGUAAAAUCUCGUGAUAAGAAUUUUAAAAAAAGGUACCCACUCCGCUGCCCAUACAUGUUUUGUUCUUCUAAUUAAUUUUUUUAAUAAUAUAAUAUUCAAAUAUCAAAUACAUUUUCGUUAUUUUCAUUUUUUAAAUUCUAAUUUUAAGAUUGGUUGAAAAAAAAAAUUCAAUAUUAAGACAACUGAUUCUAAAAAAUGAUUUGCCAUUGUCUUUGCAACCUUUUGCACAAGCAAAGAAAAUGGUCCACAACCCCAUUAAAUUAAUGAUCAUGUGUUUGACAUUGUUGUACAGGCACCGUCAAUUAGAGCAUGCAUACACAGCAAAGCCAAAUGCAGAAUUUUAAAAAAUGAAACUUAUUGCUCUAAGUUAAAAAAAAAAAAGGAAAGAGAUACAACCCCAUUAAAUUAUGAGCAUUGACCCCACAUAUAUAUAGAGUGUGAAAAUCUUUACUUUAAAUAUAAAAAACACAAAUUUUAAUACUUUAAAAAUUAUAUUUUUUUUAACUAAUAGCAUAUUAAAAUAUGUAUUAUUUUUAUUCUUUAUGACAUUCUCACUUUGAUAUAUAUAUAACUCAUAACUGGCAACAAUGGAAGAAGUGAAGCUGCAUGGAUUUUGGGCUAGUCCUCUUGGCCACAGAGUGAUGGGGGUACUGAAGCCCAUGGGUGUUUAUAUGAUGAAUAAAUAGAGGAAAAUCUUCCUAACAGUUAAGUGAAUUGCUCUUAAAACAUAUAUAAUCCUGUUCACAAAAGAAUUCCUCUACUUGUUCAUGGUGUAAAUCCCAUCUGUGAAUCGCUUAUUAUCCUUGAAUAGAUCGAAGAAACAUGGCCUGAAAAUCCAUUGCUGCCAACUGAUGAUAAUUAUGAGCGAGCCACAGCUCGGUUUCAGCUUCGUUCUUUUGAGCAGACAAGGCAACUUUAAAUAACAGAUACCAUAAAUGAUUCGUUUUGUAAAAAAAUGAUCAAAAACCUCUGGUUGUUUCAGUAAAAUAAUUAUUUCCUCUUCUUAAAUUUUAAAACUCUUUGAAACCGUCUAUUAUUGAAAGGAUUCAAAUUCUCUACUCAACUUGUUUAAAAAAAUUGAGAGAUCGUCAAUUUUCCUACUACUAAAAUUAAUAUAUAUCACUUAUUCUUACUUUAUAAGAAAAGAGAGAUAAAUAGAUCAUUUAUUUAAUAUUUGAUCUUGGGAAUAUAAAAUAUAUAUUUAUUAUAAGAAAAAAAUUGUUUAAAAAAUAACAAAAACUACAAGAAAAUUUUCUUAUUAUAUAUUCUUUUAUUCACACUAAAACGUAUAUUUCUUAUUUUCAAUAUUUGAAUUUUUUAUUUUAAUUUAUAUGAUUUACUUAAUUUAUAACUUAUAUUUCUUAUUUUUAAUAUUUGAACUUUUUAUUUUUAUUUUUAUUUAUACGAUUUACUUAAUUUAUAAUGAACAUUAAUAAAAUGUAUUAUUUGCAAAUGAAAGUAAUACUAUGAAAUUAUGUUUUUAACAGAGUUAUUGGGUAUUAUGAGAAUAAUAGGAGGCAUAAGUCAUAUAUAUUAAUUUUGAUGGAAAAAAAACUAAACUGAAACUAUUUGGUAAUUAAUCAAGAUUAAUUAUUAAACAGCCUCACCUUAGUUCCAAAAAAUGAAUGAAGAGCAAAAGAAGGCAGCAAAGUGUCACCGCCCGAUUUGUUCCCACGCUAUGCCGGCGGCCUUAGGCGCCAAAUUUGCACUCUCUUGGCCUUACGUCAGCCUUACACCCAAAUCCGUUGACGGAUUCAAAAAGCAAAAUGAGUAUUUACUCUAACUCACUAAAGAUGGGAGGAAAAGACUUCUAUUGCUCAAUAAAAUGCUUUCAAAGCUAUGUGUGCUGGAAUUGUAGAUUGGUUGUGAUUGAUUUGGCCAAAUGAGACCCUCUUCUAUUUAUAGAGUACAAGCAAGUAUCUAGAAAGUGUCUAGAGUUAUCACAACUACCACAUAAACACAUUAAUUACAAAGGAAAUAUCUAUAUGCUCUACACAAGUCUCCAUAGCUCUAGAAUUCUCCAUGGGCCAGGCCAUGUGGAGGCUUGGGCCAUGACAUUCUCCCCCACCUAUUCUGGAGACGUCCUCGUUGACUCGCUGUGGAAGGCUUUGAUCUUGUCUUGGAACUACCACAAAUCGUUUGCGACUCCCAACUUGCUUCGCUCUCGAGUAGUCCCUUCCACUUGACGAAGUAUUCUUGGCUUGGCAGAAAACUCUUCUUCCGAACCACACGAUCAGCCAAAAUGGUCUCCACUUCUUUGUCAUAUACCAUUGUGUUGCCAAGUGGAGGGCGCUUGGAUUCUCCCCUUUUCGGAUCUUCCGUAUCCCCAUUGUAUGGCUUCAACAACUCACGUAGAAGACCGGAUGGAGUUUUAGCCAAGAGGGUGACUAUAGCUUGUACGACACAUUGCCGACCCUCUUGAUGAUGGGAAAUGGCCCCUCGUAUUUCCGGAUGAGGCCCUUCUGCAGCGAUCGUGUAGACUUGUGCUGGGACAAAAGGAUCUUGACUAGCACCAUGUCCCCCACAUUGAACUCCAAGUGUCUAUGCUUGUUGUCCGCCCAUUUCUUCAUCCGCUUGGUCGCUUUGUUAAGGUGCGCCCGUGCUAUGUCUGCUUGCUCAUGCCAUGACUUAGCCACUUUAUAUGAUGUGGGACACCUCUCGGUAUAGCUCGUGAUGAGUGUGUGUGGCGUAAGCAGCUGCUGUCCCAUGAUCACCUCGAAAGGGCUCCUCGAUGUGGCCUCGCUCUGCUGCAAGUUGUAGGAAAAUUGGGCCACGUCCAGCAACUUCGCCCAAUCAUGCUGGUUGGCACUCACGAAAUGCCGCAAGUACAGUUCCAAUAAGGCAUUCACCCUCUCUGUUUGCCCGUCGGUUUGUGGAUGAAAGCUCGUAGAAAAGUGUAGCGCCGACCCCAUAAGCUUGAACAACUCAAUCCAAAACCUCCCCAUAAACUGGCUGUCGCGGUCGCUAAUGAUGGAUUUCGGAAGUCCCCAAUACUUCACCACGUGCCUAAAGGAAAGCUUGGUCGCGUCCUCCAUUGUGCACUCCUUCGGGGCGAGAAUAAAAGUGGCAUAUUUCGAGAAUCUGUCCACCACUACAACAAUAGUCACAAACCCCUCCGAUUUCGAAAGACAAGUGAUGAAAUCCAUCGAUAUACUCUCCCACGGUCGAUCCGGAGUGGGCAGUGGCUCAAGCAACCCUGCGGGACAUUGUUGCUCUGUUUUGUCCUGUUGGCACACUAAGCACGUCCGCACGAACUGCUCCAGCUCAUCCCGCAUCUGAGGCCAAUAGUAUGCCGACUCAAGCAAUGUCUGCGUCCGCCUUUGUCCCGGGUGUCCAGUUCCGACGCAAGUUUCCCCACUUCGAAACAUAGACACGCCGUCCCUUGGUGUAUAAAAGACCAUCAUCGAACUAAAACCUCUUCGAUUUCCCCUGUUGCACGAGAGAAACCAGCUGCUUGGCCAAGGGAUCAUGCUCUGUUCCCUCCUUGGUGAGUGCAAGAAACUCUCCUUGUAUCCGACUUAUGGCAGCAAGCUCGGUUAUCCAACUCAAGGCGUCCGCUACCAAAUUAGCCUUUCCAGGCCUUUCAAUUAAGGAUUGAAAAUACAAAAUAAAUAAAAAAAAGACAUAUAAUUAGCCUGAAAAAAUAAACAAAACAUGUUUGACAUCAUAAGGUUUUAAUUUUUUUUUCUUUUAUACUCUUGUCUUUUUUUUUUUAAUUUUUGGAGUUAAUUAAUUUACUUAAAACACGCUGAAAAUCAAAAUUAGCUUAAAGUUCUAAUAUCAAUUCUAUUAAAGAGUAGAAGAAAAAGAUAUAUAUUUUAACCAAAAGCUAAUACACCCCAAUAGGUUUCGAUGAAGCAGAAAAUUUAAUUUCUGAUUUUCCACAUGAGAGAAAAUUCUUCCUCUCUGAUUUUUUUAUACAAAGAAAGGCAAUCAAGCCUGAAGAGAGAGAAAGAGAGAGAGAGCCAAAAACUCUUAUAAGCUUUGAUUAUUAAUUUACAUAUUGCCAUAACGAACAUCACUGAACUUGCCUUUGAUCCAUUUGAAGCUGUUUCUGACACUUGAUUUGAGCUUAUUUUCCACGGUAAAAACAUUAUAAGAUGCAAUUCUCUUCUUCCUUUUAAUCUCCGGAUCACUUGACGUUGCAAAUCCAUUUCCUUUGCUGCUUGGUCCAUUGAAAAUGUACGCAUUUGAUUGGUUGUCAAAAUCGAACUCGCCCGAAAAUGACGAUGAGUACUCAGGGAAUGACUUGCUCUUCUCCAUUAUGAUCAGAGUAAAAUUGAUUUUGAGAAUAAUAAGGUGCUUAGCCUUAGCUAUUCAGGUUCAAUAUAUACUAUACUUCUUUUGGGUUCUUUCCCUUUCAUGGGAUUUAUUUUAUAGCUAGCAAAACUUUUGAGGUUUUGGUACACAUUCACAUCAAUUAAAUUUUAUUGGAUAAGGUAUGGACGGUAGUGAUUAUUUACUUGGAUCGAAGGAUUUGAUUAGGAACUCUGCUAAAUUUUUAAAGAUUUUAAACCUUUUUUUUUUAUCAUUUUAAAUUUGAUGCCAUCUAAUCACUUGAGUGAAUUUAAAAUCCAUUCCUAAUCCCAAAUUAGUAACUACUUUCAUUUUUUUAAUUUACUCACUAUGAAGAUGAAAUCUUUUUGAUCCCUUAAAUUUGUACCAUCUUAAUCAUUUGAUUGAAUUUAAAAUGCAUCGCUAAUUCUAAGUCAGUGAUUACUUUUAACUUUUUUUAUUUAUUAUCCACCAAAUCGCUUGAGUGAAUUUUAGUUGGAGAAGAUCAAAUUAUGAUAAAAUCUUGAUCGAAAAGAGAUUAGGGAUAUAUUUUAAAUUUAGAUUUUUUUUUUUCUUUUAAGUUAAUCUCUGUUGCAGAUGUAUGCACUGAAAAAAAGUAUGCGCUUAAACUAAGAACUGAGUAUAAUGGUACAGAACAAUACAACGUUGCUUCCAUAAAGUCGGCAUUUUGUGAAAAUAAAGAAGAUCGAACAAAUUUUGUCUUUGUUUUUGUUAUCUUGAUUAACUUUUUACUUGAGAAUGUAAAAAUCAUGCAACGUAUCAUCGCAUAGCUAAUAGAAAGUGGUCUAUCUAAAGUACAUAGUCUUUUUAUUGUUUAAAAUUAUCACUAAAUCUAUCAAUUUUUUUUUUUACUAAAAUUUGCCAUUUAUAAUCCACAAUUCUAAAUUUAACCGAAAUAAUUAUAAAAUGUAAUAUAAAAAUUUGAUGCCUAUUAUACAAUAGCUGUAUCAUGGCUCACUUUUCUUCCUUUUUCUUUUUUUUUUUUUCCUUAAUGAUAGUCACGAGAUCUUUCAUAAUGCAAAUAAUUUAGAGGUACAAGAGUAUCUCAAUAUUUAGAUGUGUUGGUGGUGAUCCAGUGUGGUGGCAGACCAUGUGUGAUGUUGGUGGCAUGCUUUGCUAAUAGUUGCGAUAUAGUGAGGGGAAAAUCAUGAGAGCCAGUGGGGUGAUGGGGCCUAGUUGUUGUAGGACUAAAGCAUCAUUUAGUGAUGGCAAAAAUGAGUUCACAUGGCGAUAGGAUUAGGGAUCCCACUAAAACUCACCAAAAAGUGUAGGGGUCCAAUUCUAGUUGAGUAUUCAUUCACAGGCUUCAAGAUAUGUAAUUGAAACUAGCUAAUAAAUUAGUGAAUAUAUAUAUAUAGAUUAUCAGAAUUCCACCGAAACCCAGUUAAAAAUGCAGACACAUUGCAUUGGACAACGAAUUUCACAACUUCAAACAUGUCCAAUGUCUAGUCAAUUAAUUUUUAAUAGUCAGCCGAUGUAAAAUUUGCCUUUAUGAAAAGCAAUUAAAGGAGUCAUCUUCCACUUUAUUCUUACUUUGUGUUGGUGGCUUAAUGCUUUGUGGGCCUUCGUUGUUUUUUUUUUUCUGGAGCAUGCAUUAACUAUCUCGAGGCUUCCACUUUAUAAAUAAUCCUUGCAAAUUGCAUAUCUUUAAGUUGGCUUCUUGAUUAUUUUCUAAUGUGAUGUGAUAUCACACAUCACGUUUGGAAUGAUCACAACCGUUGAUUUUUCCUUGGUGGGACCCAACAUUAACUCAAUAAUCUUCGUAGAUCAACUUCGUUAUUAAGGAAUAAAACAUUUUAUUGGGUAGGGACUAGGCAAAGGAUUUUGCUGCCUGUAAUUUAUUUAAGAAAAUGGGGCCUUUUCUAAAUAUAAAAUCAGAAGUCAUGGCAGGAUAGUCUCCAAUUAGUUUAUAAAGUUUGCCUCUUAAUGCUUUUAGGCAAAGGAUUUAAAAAUAUUCAGUGAGUAUAUUCUAAAAAAUAUUAGUUUUUAUUGGAUUGAAUAUAAGAGUUUAUAUUAAAACUUCAAGUUAAAAUAUUGCUACCCACUAUUACAUUAUAAUAAAAUAGGAAAAAAAAAAGAAACUUAUAAUUUGAUGAUUAAUCAACUAUCGUGAAUAGAAACAAGGCCUAACAAACAAUACCUAGAAGAUCUUUUCGAUUCUCCCCAACCUUUACACUUCUAAUCUUGAUGAGAUACACACCAUAUGGAAUAUAUCUUAUCUAUUUAUACAAUUAUUGCAUAUUGCACUAAAUUUAAUGGGAAGAAAAUAACACCACUGAUUAAGAUUUGUUAUCACUAGGUUGUGGCAUCAAUUAUUGAUUGCCCACCUAAGCUCAAGCUUAUCUAUUAAAUACUUUAUUGGUUUCAUAAAGUAUACCAUGCUAUACAAAAUUACAAUAGUUUUGAGUUAUGAAUAUCCUUAUAUUGGAAAAAAUUUAAAACCUCUGUGUAUAAAUACAGAUUGAAUUUAAGCGGUUAAUAGAUCCGAUCGAAUCUAAUUAUUUUAUACUAAUUGAACAUGUAUUCUCUUAAAAGUAUAUUCUUAUAAAGUUUUAUUAGCGCAUACAACUGCAGGCAGGAAGAUAGCAGAUUAAAGACAAAACAUAUUCUUGUAAUUAAAACUUUCGAAGAUAAUCAUUGAUCGAGAGAAAAAAAAAAAAUAUAUAUAUAUAUAUAUAUAUAUACACACACACAUACCUAAUAAGAGGAUAUUAGGAGCUUUACCCUUAUAAAAAUAAUGCUAGAGAUCUCAAUAGUUAAAUUACAAUUGAUGUGACAUUAAUUCAUUUUGGCUCCACUUUGAUUAUAAGAAUGAUUAAGAAAAGCAUUUCUAGGAUCAUAAUGUCAUGCUAUAGAAUUAGUUCCAACAAUUUUCGUUUCAGGCAUUGGGGCUAUUGUUCUGUACAGCGUCCAGAGAGAGGGGCACGGUGCACCUGUUGGACCGUAGCUGGAUGAAAGUCACAAGAAAAAAAAGAAGACUUAUGUGACCAAAUGGUGGUCUUGAUGUGACCAAUAGGUGGUCUUGAAGUGCGACUUAUUAUUUUUUAAUUUGAAUAAACUACCUAAAAGACUUUGGCAUAAUUACAAAAUCUUCAUCGUCUCGGGAUUCACAACUCACAAGUAGAAGUCUUUGCAGAUAAAAGCAGUUUCAGAAACUACAAUGUUUCCAUUUUCUCAGCUGUUGAAGCUUCAAAACAGGUUCAUAACUUGGGUACGAUAUUACGUCUGCUUUUGUAAGGCUGCUGCAUUUCUGUCAGGUAAUUUUGCAUGUGGGGCCUUAGGUAAUCCUAUCUUUUAAAAAUGUAUUUAUUCAGAACAUAAACUUGUAUACAUAUAUAUAUAUAUAUAUAUAUGAGGGUCUUUAUUUUUUUUAAUGGAGACACACUAGUAAAUUAUAUAGUUUAAUAGAAUUAAUUUUCAAUGCACUACAAAAUCAUGUAAUUUAUUUAUUUGUACUAAUACUGUUAAACCAUACAAUUUAAUACAUGUACAUAUAUUUUUUUUAUAUUUUACUAACAUCAUUACUUUAACAACAUGAUGAUGUAUGUUGCCGAUCAAUUAAGAGAACAUGGUAAAGGAGGGAGAACAGAAAAUUCAAAUGAGGAUCAAGUAAUGGCUCAGAAAAGAGUGUGGUGGCGGUUUGCCUGGUGCUGUGGUGCAGCUGCGGCAUUCUACGCAAAUAAUAUUAAGACAUGGAAGAAGACUUUCAUGUUCACAUUGUUGUUUAUGGGGGGCAGUUUGAUCCUCCUGUUGUUAGGUAUUCCCUUUUAUCAUAAUACAGAAAUACCUCCUAUUGACCGUUUUGCUAUAAUCCGCGUUGUUAAAACCUCCCUGAAGAAAAAGCAUCUCAAUUAUCCUCUUUCUCCGGAGCUGUUCUUCAGUAAUGAUGAGGGAAACGUAUUACACUUGUCACCCAGAAUCAAAUUACUCAGGUAUAUGCCUAACAUGUAUACACCCACACCCGGCCCGUGGUCUGGCAAAAUUGUCGGGGAGACCCUCUUAUUUUUAUUAAUAAUUAUAUAAACCUCUUUAUGGACACAUUAAUACCCUUUUGUGUUCGGGAAUAGUCACACCGACCUCCAAGAUUUGUCCAAAAGGGCGUAUUCAUAAACGCGUCUGUGUGAUCAUUUUGCCAAACCAGGAGCUGUCGCUUUCUAUUUUCCUAAAAAAUUACCAAUAAAUUAAUUCUUUGAAUUGCAGAUGGAUAGACAAAGCGGCAAUUAUAGAGACAUCAAGUACUUCUAACGAACAAGAAGAGGCAGGCACACUUUGCACUGUGGCCCAGGUCAGGGAGUCAAAAUCUCUUCUUAAAUUGUUGCCAUUGUGGUCUAGCUUCAUUGUGUUUGGAUUGGUUCUGUCAGCAGGAAAUACAUUUUUUCCUGAGCAGGGAGCCAACAUGAUUUCUGAAAGAUACUUAAUCUUUCUACGAACUUUUAAAGGGAUAAUUCGUGCAACGAUCUCUUAUCUGUCAAAAAAUUUAAUUUCCAAUUUUGUUCCAAAAACUAAAAAGAGACAAGCUCAAGUGUUGAGAACAUUCAUUGGAAUGGUGAUGACUACAGUUUGCUGUGUAGUGGCAUGGCAGGUUGAGGUUCGUAGGUUGGAAAAGCUCAAACAAUUGGAAAAUAUGAGCAUGUUUUGGCUUGUUCCACAAUUCUGUCUAUUAGGUCUUAUGGAAGGGCUUGCUUGGUAUGGAUGUGAUGAAUACUCGAGCUCUCAUUUUCCUGAACGGAUGGAGUACCAUGUAUCAGCAAUAAGUUAUUUUUUCGUCGGAAUUGGAAGCAUUUUUAACAUCUUUUUCAUUUUGGCAAACAAAGGCGAGUUUGCUGAAACCUUGGAUUAUAGUAGGAUUGACAAGUACUAUAAGAGUUUAACAGUUAUUAGUGCUGUGAACGUGUGCUACAAUUUUCUCUUGUCGAUCCUCUACAUAGGGAGUGAUCAGAGCGUAGAUAAUGAGGGACUACAGACNNNNNNNNNNNNNNNNNNNNNNNNNNNNNNNNNNNNNNNNNNNNNNNNNNNNNNNNNNNNNNNNNNNNNNNNNNNNNNNNNNNNNNNNNNNNNNNNNNNNNNNNNNNNNNNNNNNNNNNNNNNNNNNNNNNNNNNNNNNNNNNNNNNNNNNNNNNNNNNNNNNNNNNNNNNNNNNNNNNNNNNNNNNNNNNNNNNNNNNNNNNNNNNNNNNNNNNNNNNNNNNNNNNNNNNNNNNNNNNNNNNNNNNNNNNNNNNNNNNNNNNNNNNNNNNNNNNNNNNNNNNNNNNNNNNNNNNNNNNNNNNNNNNNNNNNNNNNNNNNNNNNNNNNNNNNNNNNNNNNNNNNNNNNNNNNNNNNNNNNNNNNNNNNNNNNNNNNNNNNNNNNNNNNNNNNNNNNNNNNNNNNNNNNNNNNNNNNNNNNNNNNNNNNNNNNNNNNNNNNNNNNNNNNNNNNNNNNNNNNNNNNNNNNNNNNNNNNNNNNNNNNNNNNNNNNNNNNNNNNNNNNNNNNNNNNNNNNNNNNNNNNNNNNNNNNNNNNNNNNNNNNNNNNNNNNNNNNNNNNNNNNNNNNNNNNNNNNNNNNNNNNNNNNNNNNNNNNNNNNNNNNNNNNNNNNNNNNNNNNNNNNNNNNNNNNNNNNNNNNNNNNNNNNNNNNNNNNNNNNNNNNNNNNNNNNNNNNNNNNNNNNNNNNNNNNNNNNNNAAGCAGUUUCAGAAACUACAAUGUUUCCAUUUUCUCAGCUGUUGAAGCUUCAAAACAGGUUCAUAACUUGGGUACGAUAUUACGUCUGCUUUUGUAAGGCUGCUGCAUUUCUGUCAGGUAAUUUUGCAUGUGGGGCCUUAGGUAAUCCUAUCUUUUAAAAAUGUAUUUAUUCAGAACAUAAACUUGUAUACAUAUAUAUAUAUAUAUAUAUAUGAGGGUCUUUAUUUUUUUUAAUGGAGACACACUAGUAAAUUAUAUAGUUUAAUAGAAUUAAUUUUCAAUGCACUACAAAAUCAUGUAAUUUAUUUAUUUGUACUAAUACUGUUAAACCAUACAAUUUAAUACAUGUACAUAUAUUUUUUUUAUAUUUUACUAACAUCAUUACUUUAACAACAUGAUGAUGUAUGUAUGUAUAUGUAUGUGUGUAUGUAUUAAGAGCUCAUGAACUUUGAGAUUCCUAAAUAGAUAAUCCCCUAGAAUAAUUUCAGUUAAGAGAGGUGUACUUAAGAUCUUUGAUUAGGUUGGGCUAAAUUAUAAAAACAUGACAAUAGUUCUCUCACGUUGUUCUUGCAGUCCUCAUGUGUAAGCUUUUUUUAGUGAGCACGAACAUUUUUUCUAAUGAUUAUUUUGAUUCCAGGUUUGUUGAUAAGCCGCAAACUCGUAGACUUGGCUAUAGUGGGCGUCUUGAUAACUUACUUCUCCGACUCCGAAUAUUCAAAAGUAUUCACACUUCAGAAAGCUGCAAUAUUUACGAGUGUUCAGGAUGUAAUAUUAGCAACUCUUACGAUUGUUGCCGCCUGGAUUUCGUGUUAUGCCAUUCGUCCUCUCAGAAUCCUCAUUUUUUCAACUGUCUCCUACAUCCUUGUAAGUUAAUAUGUUUUGAAUUUGCAAAACUUCUAAACAGUCCUUGUAAGUUAAUAUGUUUUGAAUUUGCUAAACUUCUAAACAGAGACGAAAUUAAAACAUAUGUCUAUCAUUGCAAGCAAUAUAUAUAUUCAGGGGCGGACCCAGGACUUUAUAGUACUUUGAGCUAAAUUAAAAAUUUAUUAUUUUGCAGUAAAUGUUAAAUUUCACAGCAUGUAAAAAAAAAAAAAAAUAUAUAUAUAUAUAUAUAUAUAUAUAUAGUCACACCGACCUCCAAGAUUUGUCCAAAAGGGCGUAUUCAUAAACGCGUCUGUGUGAUCAUUUUGCCAAACCAGGAGCUGUCGCUUUCUAUUUUCCUAAAAAAUUACCAAUAAAUUAAUUCUUUGAAUUGCAGAUGGAUAGACAAAGCGGCAAUUAUAGAGACAUCAAGUACUUCUAACGAACAAGAAGAGGCAGGCACACUUUGCACUGUGGCCCAGGUCAGGGAGUCAAAAUCUCUUCUUAAAUUGUUGCCAUUGUGGUCUAGCUUCAUUGUGUUUGGAUUGGUUCUGUCAGCAGGAAAUACAUUUUUUCCUGAGCAGGGAGCCAACAUGAUUUCUGAAAGAUACUUAAUCUUUCUACGAACUUUUAAAGGGAUAAUUCGUGCAACGAUCUCUUAUCUGUCAAAAAAUUUAAUUUCCAAUUUUGUUCCAAAAACUAAAAAGAGACAAGCUCAAGUGUUGAGAACAUUCAUUGGAAUGGUGAUGACUACAGUUUGCUGUGUAGUGGCAUGGCAGGUUGAGGUUCGUAGGUUGGAAAAGCUCAAACAAUUGGAAAAUAUGAGCAUGUUUUGGCUUGUUCCACAAUUCUGUCUAUUAGGUCUUAUGGAAGGGCUUGCUUGGUAUGGAUGUGAUGAAUACUCGAGCUCUCAUUUUCCUGAACGGAUGGAGUACCAUGUAUCAGCAAUAAGUUAUUUUUUCGUCGGAAUUGGAAGCAUUUUUAACAUCUUUUUCAUUUUGGCAAACAAAGGCGAGUUUGCUGAAACCUUGGAUUAUAGUAGGAUUGACAAGUACUAUAAGAGUUUAACAGUUAUUAGUGCUGUGAACGUGUGCUACAAUUUUCUCUUGUCGAUCCUCUACAUAGGGAGUGAUCAGAGCGUAGAUAAUGAGGGACUACAGACAAACAAUACUAUAGGGAGCGAUCAGAUCGUAGAUAAUGAGGGACUACAGACAAACGAUACUACAGAUGCCGAUGCCAUCUAAAUCAUCUUAUUUAGCUGCCUUGUUAUAAAAUUGGAGCUCGGAUAGAGGGAGGCUGCUGAACAUGAAUUCUAUUUUCAAGCGACAGUUUCACUUUAGAAAGCAUUGCAUGUACGCAUUAGAUUCCAUGUAGGUAGUUUAGUAUUGUUAAGGCUUUAUAAGGCUAGUGCUCUUGAAUAUAUCUCUUCUCGGUAACAAGGAAGUAUUAUUAUAAUUUUGAUGUUGCUUUGAUAUAUAAAUCCAGGAUCAAACAUCUCCGCAGUUAUGUCCUUGCUGAAUUUUCUAUUUUAAUUUUUAUGGAGAAAAGCAUUCUUUUUCUUGAUUGAUUAGGGAAGGAGUCAAAAUUAAAAAUCUAAGUUGCCAAAUUUAUUAAAGUUAAAAUACGCACUAUUAUUAACUUAUGAUAUACUUAAUUAGACUAAAAAAAAAUCUGCCCCAACGCCAACAGAAACAAUUGUAAAAUAGAUCUUUUUUAUGUGCAUAAUGGAAAAACAUCAAUUAACAUGAUAAAACAUGUAUAUUUUGCAGUUAUUUUUGUUAACAUUAGGUUAACCUUUAAUCCCUUUAUCAUUUAUUUAAAUUUUUAUUUCACCAUUAAAGCUUUCUUUUCAUUUAAGAUCUAGCUUUUAAGCCACACUAUAAGUCCAUAAUAAUAUUUACAAAUGGAGAAGGUGAAACGUUAACUAUCAAACAACAAUGUAGUGUAGCUAAUUGAAAUUUUAUCCACAUAAAUAUUAAAUAAUGCAGAAUUGACUAUUAUUGAUAAUUUAUUAUUGUGAUGUGCCACCCAGUAGUUGGUGGUCCCCGGAAUUGACUAUUAUUGAUAAUUUAUAAUUAAUUUAAUCAUGAUAAAUAACGCAGGAUCAAAUUUUACAAAUUUCCACAUCUUCAUGCUAUCGUUAUAUUUCAACAUGUUGCACGUGGCAAGCUAGGAAUCAUAUUCAUAUAAACGGCAUAUACCAAAAGCAAUCACCCGCAAGUCAGCAUUUGUACUUCAUAAUUCACCAGGUAAAAGACAAUUCACCAAGCAAUGGGAAGCAUUACUUGUGACAGAGUUAGCGAGUGGAAAGCUUUUGAUGACACGAAAGCUGGUGUUAAGGGACUCGUAGAUGCUGGGAUCACAACCAUUCCACAGAUCAUCAUUCAAGAUCAUCACACUAAACAUAAGUUUGAUGAUAAGCCAAUCUGCAGGGACCCCAAAAUCAGCAUCCCUAUCAUAGACCUUAAAAGAAUACACAGGGAUUCAAGUUUGCGUUCUCAGGUAAUUGACCAAAUUAGAAGUGCUCGUGAGAAGUGGGGUUUCUUUCAAGUGAUCAAUCAUGGAAUCCCAACAAGCAUUUGGAUCAUGCCAUUGAUGGGAUCCAUUGGUUUUUUCAACAAGAUGUUGAGGUUAAGCAGAAAUAUUAUUCUCGUGAUUACUCCAAAAAAAUUAAAUAUUGUUCAAAUUUAAAUUUGUAUAGUGCACCAACCCUCUUUUGGAAAGAUAAUUUGAGUUGUGUUGUGGGUCGCGAUUUUUCAAAUCCUGAAGAUUUGCCUGAAGCUUGCAGGUAUGUGGACGAUGACCAAUAGAUUUUAUUUCUUUUACAGUGGAUAACACCUGCCUCUUUCUUAGAACUUUUUGCAUCACUUGGGUUCCUAAUAAGUUUUUAUUACUCUCAUUUCAUCUAGAUGUUAACCCAAUAAAAAAACAAUUUCUAAAAGUCGAAAUGUCAUUCUCCCUUUCUUUUAGUAGUGAUUAUUUUUUGUCUUUAUUAAUUUGCAGAGAGAUAAUGAUCGCAUACAACAACCUAAUGUGGAAAAUAUGGGACACUCUGUUUGAACUUCUAUCCAAAGCUUUAGGGCUUGACCCCAAUUACCUGAAAGACAUAGGUUGUGUAGAGGAAAUGACUAUUGGGAAUAGUUACUACCCUGAAUGCCCUCAACCAGAAUUGUCCAUCGGCAUAGCAACACAUUCUGACCCUGGAUUUGUCACUGUGCUCAUACAAGAUCAAAUUGGUGGCCUCCAAGUCUUUCACGAAGAUCAAUGGUUUGACAUUGCCCCUGUUCCGGGAACUCUAGUUGUAAACUUAGGCUACAUGAUGCAGGCAAGUGUGUGUUAGAUAGCUUAUUAAGAAAUACUAUCCAUCAAAUUGAAAAUUCUCAAGUGGGACGUUCGCACUAAAUCUUGUGCGGACACAAUUCUUUCACAAUACUGUGAAAGAAUCGUCCUUACAAAAUUAUGUGAACGUCUACACCCGAGCAUGAAUCUCUAUCAGAUAACUUAAUUAUGGUUUAUAUGAAGUGUGUGUUUAUCCAGCUGAUUACCAACGUGUUCGUGUUUAUGCAGCUGAUUACCAACGAUAAGUUCAAGAGUGCCUAUCAUAGAGUGUUAUCAAAUAAGGAAGACUCCAGAAUUUCAAUCGGAAGUUUUUUCAUGAAUAAUAGUUGCUCGAGACGAUAUGGUCCAAUUAAAGAGUUGCUAUCAGAAGAAAAUCCUCCGCUCUAUCCUGCAAUUACUCUAAAAGACAUUUACAAUAACCAAACCUCGAAGAAUAAUGAACUCUCAGCAUUGGAUAAGCUUAAUCUGGCAAGUCGCAGUCGUUAAUUAAUUACUUGGCAGUACUUUUCCAAUUUGGUGGCUUUCAGAAAAAAUUAGUAAUGAUGGUCAUUGUUUGUUGCUUGGAAUUAUGACGUUCGUACUUAUAUUGAGCCUCGAGUGUGCAAGUGUUGCUUGUCAUGCUUUUUCCACUUUGUGUACUAUUAAGAAUAAAUCCAAGUGCAUUCGUAUUGAUUGUUAGGGUGAUGUUAAAUAUUAUACAUAGAUACAUGUUUUGACCGGAUUUUCUCUAGGAUCUGAUUUGAAUCAUUUAGUGGUUGUCCUCACCUGAACAAGGUUAAAUAUAAUUUAAAUAAAUAAAUUUAUAUUUGAGGGGAGAUUGAGCUAGUAAAAAUCUAGGUGUGUUUUUCUGCUGUUAAGGACAAAAGAAAUAACUAAGGUGCACUACUACAAAAAUGACUUUUACUGACACUUAGCUACUGACACUUUGUAAAAAGUGUCAGUAAUUGUGUACAUAUGCACCAUUUUCCGCUUUUAAGAAAUAGGUAUCAUAAAUUAUUGAUACUGAUGUGUCAGUAAAUUAAACAUCAGUGAUCACUGACAUUGAAGCAUUAAAGAUUAAAAAAAAAUCAUUAAAAUUUGCUUUAACUCCAACUCGAACCUAGGACUUUUAAAAUUCAAAGCUUUAACAUAUGGACAAUACACCAUUGGACCUUGUAGAAUUAAGAUAUAAUAGCAGCAAUAAAUUAAAAAACAAAAUUAAAAUAACAAAAGCAAAAUAUAACCCAGACUUGGAAACUUUAUUUCGUUUCUGGACGCAAAUAUUUGAACCAAACCCUAUCACUAUCUUGCUUUCUCCUUCUCUUUUUUCUUUUUCUCUUCUCGAUCUCUUUUGUUUCCAGUUGUCCAUUUGCAAACUCAAUUCAAUUAAUUCAGACAGAUAAUGAAAAGCUAAACCCUAAUUGAGGCUUCUCUUUUCUUUUUUCCCCAUAUCGAAAAACAAAGUGAAACCCUAAUUGAGGCUUCUCUUUCCUUUUUCCUUUUUUUCCCCAAAUCGAAAACAAAGCAAAACCAUUUUUUCCCCAAAUCGAAGAACAAAGCGAAACCCUAAUUGAGGCUUCUCUUUCCUUUUUCCUUUUUUCCCCAAAUCGAAAACAAAGUGAAACCCUAAUUGAGGCUUCUCUUUCCUUUUUCCUUUUUUCCCCAAAUCGAAAACAAAGUGAAACCCUAAUUGAGGCUUCUCUUUCCUUUUUCCUUUUUUCCCCAAAUCGAAAACAAAGUGAAACCCUAAUUGAGGCUUCUCUUUCCUUUUUCUUUUUUUCCCCAAAUCGAAAAACAAAGCGAAACCCUAAUUGAGGCUUCCUUCGUAGGAGUUUUUUUUUCCUGUUCAAAUUUCACUUUUUUUGUUCGCUACUCGAAACCCAUUUGCUUGAAUUUGAGAUAAUUGUUGAGAAGUUAGUUAAUUUGUUUGCUAUAGAAGGUUCGCCUAUGCCUAGAAUUGUAGAGGAGGAUUUCAACGACUUUAAAGGCAGAGAGGUUUAUUUUAACAAUUGGUAAUGGCUUAAUAUUUUUUUGUCAAUUUAAUUACUGGGUUUGUUUUAUUUUAGCUUAUGAUUAUUUUUUGUAAUUUUAAUUUUCUGGGUUGUUGACGAUGUUGAGAAAUUCAUGUUUAUUUGGAAGGUCGCACUUUUCUUUACGUAUUGAUUUAAAUUAUUGUUUAAGUCUUGUGGCUUUAAGCGAAAUGGGGUUUAUUUUAUAAACGAGGAUCCUAUGUGGGCUUAUGGAAAUUGGAUGUGUUUUAGCUUAGCUGCCUGAUUAAUAAGUUCUUGUUUUUGUUCUCUGUUGAGCCUUUUUAUUUUGGAGUUUGCAGCAAUUUGUCAUUCCAUAGUACGAUGGAAGUUUAAAGGGGAGUUUAUUGGUGGAUUGUGUUAGGAGUUGGCCCUUUUUUUGUUUGAACUUUAUGUGAUAUGUUUUAAGAUUGAGAACAAAAGCUUUGAUCGGUACUUGUGUAAUAGUCCAUAAUUUGAGUAGUAGACAAUAGGACACCAUUCCAUGAUAAUGAGCAUGGGAUGCUCUGUAUAUGUAAAGCAAGGCAAUAGUUUCUCCAGCAGCUGACUGGUCUCCACUGUGAACAUGUUAUUUCACAUUUAUAUUUUAUAUAUGAAAGUUGUAUGAAGUACUUCAAACAUCUCUCUCGCUCUCUCUCUUUUUUGGGUCCUUAUUGCAAGCCUUUUAGUAUUUUGCAACUCUGACGUGUUGUAGGCCGCUCAUUUACAUAAUAUGAGUCUUAUAAUUCCUUUUUAAUUUCCUCUGAGAACUAUCUUCUUUGUGGUCUAAUUUUGACUUUUUUCCCCUCUCCUUCCGAAUCUAAAGUGACCUCUUCAAUAACUAUGAGAUGGUAGUUGUAACAAGUAUAAUCACAAGAAACUGUAAAAAAAUAUGCCCCUGCUGUACGGAUUGAAAUCUGAAAAAGUAAUAUUUAUUAAAGUUGUUGCUUAAGGCAUCUAGUUAAAAGCCUUAUCAACGGUCAACGUGUUCCUUGAAAAUUAUUGGUUUUUGAGCACUUUGUUGAGAAAAUCGGAUCUCUUAAGAAAUAAUAUUUUGUUUGACAAUUAAUAUUUAUAACACAACACUACUCUCUCAUCUCUCUACACAUUAUCCAUGAUAAAAGAGAUUUGUUCCCUCGUCAACAGUACUAGUAAAAAAACUAACUCUGUAAUGCAGGGUCUUUUAUGUAUGCGCGUGCGCACACUCACACACACAUAGAGAUAUAUAACACAUCAAUUUGUGAAUAAAAUUAAAUGAAAUUCUUAAUUAAUCACGUUGCUUUCUGCUUUCACUAUUCUUUUAAUUAAAACUUUAGCUUGGUGUUUUUUCCCCCUUUUGUGUGGAUAAAAUUUAAUUCAUAAGUAGGUUGUAAAAUUGAGCUCUCCCUCUAAAUAUGCUUUAUACAUGAGAAAAAAAAAACUUAUACGAUAUUAAACAAAAUGAAGACAUUUUUAAUUUAAGUCUUAAUUUUUAUUAGUUACUUAACUUAUGAAUUAGCUUGGCUAAUUAAAAAGUCAUUAUGGCUCAUCUAACUUGUUCCUCUCUUGUUUUAAUUUCAAAGCUUCUUUUGUUUCAAUUUUGGGAUUUUGUCUGAAUUAUUAUUAUAAGUGCUUAAUUAUAAACCUUCUAAAUAUCUACUUUUACUCGUCCAUCUUCUACUGCUUGUUACUCGCUUACGUUUUAACAAAGGUUAAUAAUAGUGAUUGGAAAAAUGGUAGCUAGAUUUUUAUUUUUUAUUUUUUUAAUUUUGGUUUCUCUAGAUUAAUUAAGUGAUGAACAUUUAAUUGGGCAGAACCAGCUUCCGGAUGAUCAUGUAAUAUGUGGAAUGCACUACUAGAUUUAUGUGAUUUUCUUUAUACAUAGUUUUGAAAUUUACAUUUCUUUGUUUAAGACUGCCACAGUUUCUUAUAAAUGUCUCUCUAAUUUAUAGGUGGAGCAUCAGUUGCUGGUCAAUUAGAGGACAUUCCAACAAUUUAAGAUUGAUCAGGAUUACUUGUAAGUUGAAUGCUUUCAAAUUAAUACAUAUGUUCAUUGUUAAUUUACAAGGUUUUCAUUAGAUAAGCAUGCCAUGUAAUUUUCGAAAAGAAAAAUUCUUUCAAAUUAGUCUUAGUGUGCUGGAAAAAUUAUUGCACUUUAUAUAUUGUUUCCAAAUAUCCAAGACUUAUUUUUUGAGGUGUACUAAUUGAUUUUAUGUACUUGUAGGUGGGAAAAAAAAAUGAAGCCAUAUGUGGAUAUUCAAUGACAUUCUUCUGCUUAAUUUUGUAGGUUAAUGUUUGAUGAAACUUAAUUUUGUAUUAUACAAAAAUAUUUCAAAUUAAUAUUAGUGUACUGGAAAAAUGGUUGCACUUUAUAUAUUGUUUCCAAAUAUCCAAGACUUAUUUUUUGAGGUGUACUAAUUGAUUUUAUGUACUUGUAGGUGGGAAAAAAAAAUGAAGCCAUAUGUGGAUAUUCAAUGACAUUCUUCUGCUUAAUUUUGUAGGUUAAUGUUUGAUGAAACUUAAUUUUGUAUUAUGUUGUUUAGAACUGGUCGAAACUCAAUUUGGUACUUAUAUUUUUCUUUUCCAGACAAUGAUGUAGUUGAAUUAUAUUAAUGUAAGUGAUGUAUUUGGGAUGGUUAUUAUAUGAAUUUUGUUGUGAGAUUUGGUAUAUUUAAUAUAUUUUGAUUGUAAAACAAGCAGGAAAAUUAAAAUAAAAAUAAAAAUAUACUAUUAACCAAAAGCAGCAUAAUAUCAUUAAAUAUUAACACUAAAUAUUUAAAAUGACAAUAAUAACUUUUGAUGUUAUUGAAUCAGUGUGCUCUUGAUACUAUAGUCACAUAAAUCACUGACGUAUAAAUAAUAUCAUCAAAUACUAACACCAUCAUGUCAUUAUUUAGGUGAUACUAUAACGACGCUAAUUACUAACACAAUAAUCACUGACACUAAAAAUUAGUGUCAGUGUGUUCUGGCUUGAGCAUCAUUGACACAAUUAAUAAGUGUCAGGAAAAGUAAUUACUGACACUAAAUUAGUAUCAGUAAAGCUUAUUUUUCUAGUAGUGGUGAUCUGGAAGGUGAACUGAGGUAAUUUGAGAGGUAAAUUGAAGUGUUUUGGGAGGUAAGCUCUAUGGAGCUCAUGGGAUUUAGUUUAAAGAGUUGAUUUGGGGAGCUCAAGAGAGUUUAGGAAGUAGCUCUAGCGAAUUCGAGGAUAGCUUUAACUAUAGAGCUUAUUUGGGGAGCUCAGUAGAGCUCGUGCUAUGCCUCUAUAUGAGCUCAUGUAUGGAAUACGAUUUGAGUAUUAUCAUCAUCCUAAUAAAUAGAAAAUAAGCAUAAACAAUAGAGAACACAUAAGAUUUUACAUUGUUCGGCCCUUUGAUCUACAUCCAUAAGAGUAACUCAUCUCCAAUCCACUAUAUAAAUGAAGUAUUACAUAAUUUGCAUUAUAAUAUCGACAAAACUUUAUUAAAGGUUGUUUAUGAGGAAUAAUGACAUGAGGGAGAUAUGAGUUUUAUAGAGAUUUGAGAGUUUUCCAGGAGAAGAGUAAGGGAAAAGGCUUCUUUGGGAGAUAGAUGGUUAAAAUUUACCAUGGUGGUGUUAAAAUGGAGAAAGAAACCCCAACCAUAAAGGAAGAAGAAGAUGAAGAAGUCUCUCAAGAAAUUAGAUCUAAAAAAAAUCACUAAAGUCCUAUUGGCUCGUUAUUCUUAGCGAAAAAAAAAUUAUUCUUUUCAUAAUGGUGUACUGUUCACAUGUUGGCUCUAACCAUUCACAUUUAAGUUUCGAUAAUACCCUUUAAUGCUGGGCAUGUUUACCAGAACUAUCUUUUUCCACAAAGAGUUUUUCUUCUGAUUUUUUAGAGUUAUAUUACUUCAAAUAAGUUGACUUUUCUUCAAGUCAUUAGUAUAUAUCAGCAUUUAAACUUCCUCCCAAACAAUACAUAACCGUUAGUAGUCCAUUAAUAAUUAACGAAAUACAUGCAAUAAUUCAUAAAUAUAAAGUCAAGUCCCCCUUAUUACUCAAAUCCAUACGAAAGUACCCAGCAAAGCGGCGGCCUCCCAAUUGAGCACACAAGAUAAUCAAAAACUAAGCAAAGAGCGGCCUCUUGACAACAAUACAAUUGCACGAAUUUUGUGCUAAUGCAAUGAGGAAGAGGCCACCAACUUUUCACGGCGACGUUUGAAAAAAACCAAUAGUUCACCCCAAUUAGGAAGGUUCUCUUCAAUUUCUGGGACUCGUUUAAAUUUUUCAAACCAUGCGUGCAAGCGAGUGAAUUUGUGAGAUUCAAAUAGUUUCACUCCUGCUACAUCUUCAAUGAUUUGCAACCAAUAAACAAAGGAAGCAAAUGCUAUGUCCACUAAGCCAAUCUUGUCUCCAUGAAAAAAUUUCUUCUCUCCUAAGCCAUGUUCUUCAACGGUUUUUAGCAUUUCCAAGAUUUCUUUCAUUGUAUUCUCUUGAUCUUGUACGCUACGAAACAUUUUCCAAACAGUAGCUCCCUGCCAAAAUAUCACCACAUGAUUAAUAAUAUGUAUGAACUAAAAGACUUGGACAAUACAUAUCCUUGUCAUUUGUCAAGCACCCUUAUACUAGAGGUUAACAACUACAUUGAAUGACAAAGGGUAAAUGAACAACAAAACCACAAUGUUGUUUUGGUAAAUUAAUCCUUUUCUCCCUCAUAUUUCAAAAGCCAUCAAAAUUUCCCUUGCCGUUAAAAAAAUUCUAUUAAACUUUCAACUUCCUAUUAAUAAAAAUUUUUCCAGAGGUAAAUUAGUAAAAGACAAAAAAAGUUGAAAGUUAACAGAAUUUUUUGAAUGACAAUGGAGAUUUUGAUAGGUUUUAAAACAUAAAAGAACAAAUAAUUAAUUUUGACAUACAAUGGGGGAUACUGAUCUUUUUCUCUAAUAACAAAUAAACAUGAAAAUAAUGAACUUAUAAACGCAUUAGCUAGAGUUCUGAAGCAAACUCUAUCUUAGGCAAAUAUAAUCCAAAAAUGAGCCAGAGCUCUAUCAUAAGGAUCAUUUGGCAUUAAGGGAUUCUGUGGCCACAUCUCCUCAAUGUAUUCAAGGAUAACAAUGGACUCGCAAACUGAUUUUGAGUCAUGAACAAGCACUGGGACCUUCUUGUGAACUGGAUUAUACUUCAAAAGCAAAGCACUUUUGUUAGAGAGAUCUUCUUCAAUGUAAUCAUAUGCUAUGCCUUUCAAUUUCAGAGCCCAUAUCACUCUGUAACAAAAUGCACUCGCCCAUGCCCCAUGAAGCUUCACUUCAGCCAUAUUUCUGAAUAUCGAAGUUAAAUACCAGUGUGGUUAUUUGAAUAGCUAACUAUGCAUAUGUAUCUGAAUUUAUGGAGAUCGACAGAGCAUGUGCUUGCAAUGACUUUAAGAACUGCAAUAAGAGCUAAAAAUUGUCACUAUAACAGCUUAAAAGAGAAACAAUGAUCCAUACAAGACAAUCGCAACAUGUAGGUUACUGAGAUCAUAAAUAGAAUAAUACAAAAAAUUUGAUUUUUUCAAUAAUCAAAAAAUCAGUUUUCUUGACUUAUAAUAUGUGGCUGUCAUUAAUAGGAUUAACGUCCCCAAGUUAUUGAAAGAAUUUAGAGGUAACAGACCUGCCCCGCUGAUAGGGAGGAUAUGAAAUAGAUAAUUAUAGUUGUGCUUGCCCUCACUUAGAAACUUGAUGCCCUUUAGUUAGGCAUGCUCUCGAAACUAGAUUAACUCAAUCUAUUAAACACCUAUGCAGAUUGGCAAAACUUAUAAUAGUGCAGAAUAUGAGGACAUGACAACUUGUCAAAUUGCAUGGCAAAAAAUGUGUUGAUCCAAACUCAGAUAUUAAGAAAUAGUACAUUCCACGAUCAGGUUUGAGAAUAUAUUUUUUAAUUAAAGUUAUUAAGGAUUUUCAUAUAACAAAUACAAUCUUCUCACAUGUGAUAUACUAUCCAUAUGCACUUGAAGCAAAUCACUACUGAUUUUACUUUUAUUUAGAUUACCUGCUACUUGAAAACAGUAAAAUGAAAGUGAAAAUUGAAGGAAAUCAAGAAAUGAGCUUACCUUCCAAUUAGGCUGCGAAAUUGAUACAUGUCAUUAUAGUUGAGGUCCUUUAUGAGCCAAGUGAACCAAUCACCCCUUGCCCAAACAUCAUUCCCUCUCAUACUCACUCUCUAGCAUUUUUUUCUUCUAAUUAGUAGUCUGAAAGAACUUAUCAAAUAAAAGUUGAGACACAGAACUUCGACAAAACAAUAAAUAAAUAAAUCAAAGAAAUAAAAGUUAAAAAAGCCUUCACUUUGGACAAAUUAACAACAAUAAGACUCACACUAAGCAAAAAAUGUUAUGAUAUCUCUGUAGAUGAAUGAAGCCAUUCAAAGUACAUGUGCCUCAGCAAACAAUUACUUGAAAACAUACAAGUGCAUAAAGUUCAAUGUCUAAUCUCCUCUAUUUAACCACCCAAAGCAAAACAUUCUAUAACAGAAUAAAUACGAGAGCAAACCAUUAUAUAUACUCACUUAGGAAUUUCGUCGAACACUUAGCCUGAACAGUUCAUAACGAACGUAGCACAGAAUAAAAAUGUAGUCAAACGAUUAGGGAACGUAAAAACAAACCUCGAGUUUUGGGUCUUCAGAAGGUUCAACAAAAACACAGUGAACUUGAGCUUGUCUCGUUGGCUCGCUGCCACUCUAACGCUUGGCUUUUGUCGUCUUUCUCAUUUUGUAAAUUGCUAAACGACAUAGGUUUAGGUUUGACUACUAUUACACACAUAUAUUUUAUAAUUUUAUUAGCGACGUUGUUUCCCUAGGGGUCAUAAUGUAGAAUUUAAUUUCUUGAAAGUCAGCCAUGACGUAGAAUAAGUGAACUUGAGGGGUAUCCAAGAAUCUGUUGUAUAAAAUUAUUAACAAUUUAGGAAAACUUUUAGAAACCACCCCUGAGGUUUGGCUUUGCUACACUUAGAGAGAAUGUAUCCAUAUAUUGACAACAUACCCCCGGCCAUGUAUGAAGGUUAGGCACCCGUUAGGUUGUUGAGUGAAUGUAUAAUAAUGCCCUUCAAAAUUAUUUGACACUGUAGAUGAUCUUUAUAUUUGGGGCGAUUUUUUUUUUGGCGCCUGCUGUACGGCCAAGGCGGAUGUACGGUGUGGCUAUUUCAAGUUUUGGAUGCCAUCUUCAAAUGAUAUCGACCAAGGUGUUAUAUUUGAUGGUUUAGGAACAUGUCAAGCAAAUUAUGAACUGCUGAUGAGUAUGCAAAAGGAUAGGAAGGAUUUGAAGUCACUGAUGCAAAAAGCACAACAAAAUGGAGUAAAAUGAAAUGAUAUAAAGACAAUGUUGUUCCUAAACAUGUUUUUUUUCUCAUUUGUGCUGUUGUGGCUUCAACAAUGGGUGUAGUUAUGGCUGCUAAGUAGGCAUUAUACAAUAAAUGCAUGUAGCAGUACCUAAAGUAGCUAAAUGAACAUGUACUACAAUAAUUAUGAACCUAAUGACAACAUUUAUUCUAUGAAUAAACUCAUCUUGAUAUCUCGAAAUCAUCAGAUCAUUAAACAACAUAUAAUGAUAACAGAAUCACAAUAGAGGUUUACAAGGAUAGCAGUUGGUACAUUCAAACCAAAAAAAAAAAAAAAAAAAAAAAAAAAAACACAAUAGAGGUUUACAAGGAUAGCAAUUGGAAAAAUCAAGCCACUAAUCGAAAGCCACCUGGGCCAAAAAAUUGAGCCCAAAAAGGCCGACGUGGACAAAAUUGAAGAUGUAACACCAGCCGUCGGAUCUAGGGCAUCUUACAUUCAAAUGGCCUUUUUGCAAAUGACAUCUCUUUGGCAUUCAUUAUAUGAAAGCAUCAGAAAGUACUACUUUGAUAAACAAAUGAAGUCUUGUGUUUAUGUAAUUAAAUCUGUUAAUAUGUGUAUUAAAAUGGAUGACCUAAAAGACACUUUCUCAACUGUACUAGUUCUUCAAUAAACCAACUGCCUACAAGCUCUAUAACUAAUAUAUCUCUUACACCUAAAUAACAACCUCAAAAAGUAAUAGGCAAGCAUCUGAAUUUUAUGUUGGGAACGGAAGUACAAAUUUUUACGCGAAGAAAAGGAAAAAUAAUAGCAUCCAUUUUCCACCAAAAAUCAGUGAUUGGAAUUAGUCCAUACAAACAUCAAAAAGCAACAAGAGCAACUGUCUCAAUCUUACAUGAACUGCACACUUGUAAAAUAAAAAAAGAAACAAAACAACACCAUAAGCGUUUUCUCAGCAACACCUCUGCAUUCUUAGAAAAAGAUUGGAUUUUUCUCAAUUUUAAUAACAGAUCAAGCAAAUUUCAGUAGGCAUUCAAAAACCAGAGUCCAAAAUCAUCAAAAAAUAAAUCAUUUUCAUAGUUUACACAACAUGUCGAGUGACUAUCAACUCAAAAAUCAAUUCCGAUAUAUUCGGUCACUACUUCAAUUUCUAUAAACCCUAAACAUUUUUCUCAAUUAAUUGGAACAAAGAAUAAAGCACCUAACUAACAGCAAUUUCAACAAAAUGCAAGAAAAUAAUAAACCCUAACUUCAGUUUUAAGCUUUGAUAGAAUUACGCACCUAGUGUGCCCUUUAAUCGGGCUUUUCAGCUGCUGGUAGUCGCCAGAAUUUGGUUCAAAACAUAGUUGAUUUCAGAAACUUGUUAGCUUACUGCAUCACAAAGUAUCUCUGGUUUUGCUAAAAUCAGUUGGUGUCACGACCUUCGAAAUGAAGCUAAGCACUCAUCAAGUUAUGCUGAGAAAAAAAAAAAAAAUGAAGCUAGGCAUUGACAAUGAAAAUGGGUUACUAUCCCCUCGGGUUUCACUAGUUGAUUAGUUACAGUAUAACAGCUUUUGUAAGAUUUGAAAAAAAAAAUAAUGCAACACGUACAUUAUUGCCCUCAGCGACCUAAUGAGUGUCUAACCCUUGUACACGGCCAAGGGGUGUAUUGUCAAUAGAGUAAUAAUAUAACCAUAAAUUUUUGUAUAAAUUUAUUUUGUAUAAAUUGAUGUGGCAUGAUAAAAUUGGUUGAAUUAAAUAUCUCUUGGCCCACAUGAUAUAUUUUUAUUAUUUUGUAUUUUUAUUCAACCAAUGAAUUAAUGACAAAUCAAUUUGUACAAGAUAAGUUUGUAUAAGAAUUUGUGGCUGUAUCAUCACUCUUGUCAAUAUAUAGAUACAUUCUCUCUAAAAAUUAUCUAAAAGUGUAGUAAAGCCAAACUUUAGGGGAAGUAUCUAAAAAUUAUCCUAACUAUUAAUUGAAGGGUGUGAAUAAUUCCACCCCACUAUUUUUAUAAACUCACUCCACCUCCAUAAAAUAAUUACAAUAAAUUUACAUUAUUUUAUAAAUUUAAAUUAUUUUAUAAAAUUACAAAUUAAUAAAAACUUUGAAUUACUAAUUAAUUAAAUCAAUUUUAUAAUUUUUUUAAUUUUUUGGACUUAGGCUUUUAACAAUCUUUAACUUUUGAAGGUUGCCUCAAGAUAAAUUUAAUUUGACUAUUUUACCCUUAUAAUAUAAAAUAACGAAAUUACUCUAAGAAAUAUAUAUAUAUAUAUAUAUAUUAUCGUAACUAAUUGCUUAGGCUUUUAUAUAAAAUUUAAUUAGUUUCAUUACACCACAUGUCCUAAUUAUAUUUUGUUAGUUUAGUGGAGUAAUAAUAAUUGUACUAACAAUUACUUAUAUAUCAUUAAAAUAUAAAAAAAAAUUUGCAUAAAAUUUUAUUAAAGUUAAAGUGAAUUUUUAUAUAUUUUGGUGCUUUUACCUUAUAAGGGCAAAAUAGUCAUAUUAAGUUAUGUUAAAGCAACCUUAUUGAUGAAAUAUAAUAAAGAAACAUAGUUAAAAAAAAGAAAUGAAUAUGGAUUUAAUUGAUUAAUUUUUAAAUUUCUUCUUAAUCUAAAUUUUUAAAAAAUAAUGUGAACUUAUUAUAAUAAUUUUUUAAAAAUGGGUGGGUUUAUAAAAUUUAUGGGGUGGAAAUAUCAUCACUGAAAAUCUUAUAGUUGCUGUUUUAAUAUAUUUCACAUUGAGAGCAAGGUUUGUUUAUAUAGAUGGAUAAUCAAUUAAUUAUUUGUGUUUUUUGACCAUUUAAGUGAUAUUAUUUUUUGAGAAAGUCUUGCGUGCUCUUCGAGCAUCAUAUAAUUAUAUUAUUAUGCUGGCAUGAUCGAUGCUCCACUUGAUGAAAAUUUUUGGGUUUUGUUCUUGAACAGCUCUUUCUGCUUUUGUUUCUAUGGUAUUAAGCAACUCCAAACAUUUUGCUAUGCUCUCUGUUCAUUAGUUAAAUUUAUAAGGUUUCACACCUUGACGAAGUAAAAAUUUAAAAAAAAUUUUAUUUGUAUCUUUUAAAUGGUAGAGCAUCGUCUAUAGCAUUAUUGAACAAAAAGGAAAAAGAAUACAAAAGCUGAAAAGAAAUUUCAACAUGGGCAAUUGGAUUUAAGCACACAGAAGAAUGACAGGACAUGAAUACAUUACUAAAAAUAAAAAUUAGAAAACCUCUACAGAAUUAUAUAUAUUAUCUGCAGCAUUCCCAAUUUGAACUUUAGAAAACCUCUACAGAAUUAUAUUAGAAAACCUCUACAGAAUUAUAUAUAUUAUCUGCAGCAUUCCCAAUUUGAACUGGAACCUCAAACUUCUUCAAUUUAUCUGAAUCCCUCCAAAAUGGAAGAUAUCAGAAUCAAGCUGUACAUGAUCUCAGAUGAAACCAAAUUCUAAAUGCCAUUGAAUCAGAAGCAAAGUCCAAAUGCUGUGGACAAUGCUAUGCCUCCGAAAACCAUGCAACAGAAAUAGUCUAUAACAGAUCCUUUCACUUAUAUACAUAAAACUAACUCUUUCUUUUUCUUUUCCUUUUUUUUCUUCACUUAAAAGAAUAUACAUUAAUUAAAUAUUGUUGCUCAAGAUUAAGCAUGAUUCAUUUUUAGAAUUUCCAAGCUGUAAUAUACAUUAAUUAAAAGAAUAAAAAAACACUUGGUAUAUCUGAUAUAAAUGUAAAUCAACCUCACUCGAAAGCUAAUGUGACAGAAAUACUUUACUUGUGUGCUUUAUUUGAGUGUUUAUAAGUUUUCUUCGGAAAAUAACUUAAACAGGGGUUAGUUGUUUGACUUUGCUUAUUGAAAAUUUUCCUGGUUUAUUUUUCAAGUUUUUUGGCAGCAAAGUGGCAGCAGAUUAACAGACAACAACAAUUCAUGCACAUGCACUUGCUUCAGGUAAAAAGACAACAAUGUCUGUAUCUUAUCCUCCUGAAGAAGUACUGAAAGAAAGAUAUGCGUCGCAUUAUUUGUGAAUUAUGGUCCAAAAUCAGUAUACAAAUCUUUAUUUAUUCCAAUGCCUCAAUGAAAGAGGCGUUGUUUGCAUUAAAAAUGAACAAAAAUUUAAAAAAAAAAUUAAUGGCAUCCACCUAGAUUACUAAAUAUAUGGGGUUGUCAAAUUGUGUAUUACCUAUAGGCCACAGGCCACCUUACACUUUGGUGUAGGGUUUAGAAUCACAAUUCAACUUUGCUGGAGUGACAUGGAAAAGAUUUAAGAAUUUUCUUUUUUCUUUUAAUAUUUUCCUUAUCUUUCAGAUGCUGAAAGUUUCAAUACAAAGAAAAUUAUCUCUACAAUCACUGGAAAAGGUUUCAAUAAUAACAUUCAAACAUUUUCUCUUGCUUAAUUUUAUCUCUAUUCAUUUUUGCGGCAUCAUCUAUCUUAUAAUUCAUUCAUACUGGAAAUGCUAAGUCACCUGAUGCUCCAAUCCUAAGAAGCUGUUAUUUUUUUAUUUUUUCUCUAGAAACAGAGUUUUAUGAAAUGCCAUGCUCCGUAGAUCAGAUUGGGGAACCUUCUUGGCCAUCAAUUGACAUAUGAUCAGCUCAUUUUCUCAAGCAAUGAUUAUCUCUUUCAACUGGAAAAUGUAUAUAUCUGCUCAUUGACUGACUCUGCUCACUCACAUACAAUUCUAUUAUCAUCUAAAGAUCUUCCCUUUGAGAAUCUUUUCCUUGCUUUACUUGCCUGCAACAUGAGAAACCCCUUAGAAACACAGAGCUUGUAACAAUUAACAAACUAGAAAAUGGUUAUAAUUCUUGCAAAAAAGCAAAUUUUCAAAUGAGUUUGCAUGUCUGUUAUUGAAUAUCAUUUUCUCAAUGGCAAAAUUUUCAAAUGAGUUUGCAUUUGUGUUAUUGAAUAUCAUUUUCUCAAUGAGAUGCCAAGCAGAAGUGUUUGUGUAAAAGCACCAGCUUGUAUCCCAAUCCAUAGGCCCCUUCCUCUAAACUUUAACCAGAAACCCAAAAUGGCAGCAGUUGGGACUCCACACAAAUAAUAAGCCCCAAGAUUCACAAAAGCAGCUAUAUUCUGCCACCCACAUCCUCUUGCAACACCUUAAAAAUAAUAAAAAGAAUUUAGACACCUGAAAAUUUUUAUUUCUACUUAAAGAGAACUAUUUAGCAAUUGACAGAGUUGAAGAAGUUAAUUUAACCUGAAAAGACUCCUUGUAAGCUAUCCAUGAUGACAGAGAAACAAACCAGAGGAGCCAUGGUUGUACUUGUGACAUAAUCCACAACUUGUCCCUCAUUGCUGAAAACAUAACCAAAAACACGCCGGCUGGCAAAGAGAGAUGCACUUACUAUGAUAGUCUCCAUGACUGCCAUAAAAACCACAGCAUAGACAGCUACACGGGCUCUUUGCACAUUCCCAGCUCCUAGUUCAUUUGAAACUCUAGUACUAUAGAAGGAAAUAAUGGUUAAUCUGCUAAUUAGUUGAUAUAAAACAAUUAUUAUUUAAAUGAUUGUUAUGAACAAACCUCACUGCAGCACCAAGUCCAUAUGGGAUUGCAGAGAGGGUUUGAAUAGUACUGAGACUGCCCAAAGAAGUUGACAAAUAAUGAGCAGUCGGGAAAAAAAAGAAAAAAAGAAAAAAAAUCUAUUUCCUUUGGUAGGUGCUUCUCUGUAUAGAACUUUCACAUACAAAGUCUAUGUCAACAUACCAUGCAGAUAGGACUGAAGUUUCAAGCUGUGGGUUAGGCAACAGCCCUGACAUUAAAAUGAGCAAUUCAAAUGACCACCAUUCUAGGCUGCAAAAUUAUAAACAAAAGAAGAAGCAUGAAAAUUUAUGACGUGUCUACGAUAUCUAUGAGAAGGGAAAAUAAAACUCCAGAGGAUAAUUAACAUACCAAACCAUUACUGCAGAAGGGAUAGCAAAGUGGAAGAACUCUCCAAUUCCUCGGAAUAACUCCAUUGAAAUUGGAGCCCUGGAUUCUGCACAAGCAGUGGAGAACUUCAUGUAAAUUGCCAAGAAAGUUAGAUUCAACCAAUACGAUAUACCAAUUGCCAAUGCUCCUCCAAGGNNNNNNNNNNNNNNNNNNNNNNNNNNNNNNNNNNNNNNNNNNNNNNNNNNNNNNNNNNNNNNNNNNNNNNNNNNNNNNNNNNNNNNNNNNNNNNNNNNNNNNNNNNNNNNNNNNNNNNNNNNNNNNNNNNNNNNNNNNNNNNNNNNNNNNNNNNNNNNNNNNNNNNNNNNNNNNNNNNNNNNNNNNNNNNNNNNNNNNNNNNNNNNNNNNNNNNNNNNNNNNNNNNUCUAAUUUUUAAGGGAUUAAAUGUUGAGAAACAGACCUGUUUUUCCCAAUCUGUAAAUGUUGUUAUGAUGCCAAGCAGACGUGUUUGUGUAAAAGCACCAGCUUGUAUCCCAAUCCAUAGGCCCCUUCCUCUAAACUUUAACCAGAAACCCAAAAUGGCAGCAGUUGGGACUCCACACAAAUAAUAAGCCCCAAGAUUCACAAAAGCAGCUAUAUUCUGCCACCCACAUCCUCUUGCAACACCUUAAAAAUAAUAAAAAGAAUUUAGACACCUGAAAAUUUUUAUUUCUACUUAAAGAGAACUAUUUAGCAAUUGACAGAGUUGAAGAAGUUAAUUUAACCUGAAAAGACUCCUUGUAAGCUAUCCAUGAUGACAGAGAAACAAACCAGAGGAGCCAUGGUUGUACUUGUGACAUAAUCCACAACUUGUCCCUCAUUGCUGAAAACAUAACCAAAAACACGCCGGCUGGCAAAGAGAGAUGCACUUACUAUGAUAGUCUCCAUGACUGCCAUAAAGACCACAGCAUAGACAGCUACACGGGCUCUUUGCACAUUCCCAGCUCCUAGUUCAUUUGAAACUCUAGUACUAUAGAAGGAAAUAAUGGUUAAUCUGCUAAUUAGUUGAUAUAAAACAAUUAUUAUUUAAAUGAUUGUUAUGAACAAACCUCACUGCAGCACCAAGUCCAUAAGGGAUUGCAGAGAGGGUUUGAAUAGUACUGAGACUGCCCAAAGAAGUUGACAAAUAAUGAGCAGUCGGGGAAAAAAAGAAAAAAAGAAAAAAAAUCUAUUUCCUUUGGUAGGUGCUUCUCUGUAUAGAACUUUCACAUACAAAGUCUAUGUCAACAUACCAUGCAGAUAGGACUGAAGUUUCAAGCUGUGGGUUAGGCAACAGCCCUGACAUUAAAAUGAGCAAUUCAAAUGACCACCAUUCUAGGCUGCAAAAUUAUAAACAAAAGAAGAAGCAUGAAAAUUUAUGACGUGUCUACGAUAUCUAUGAGAAGGGAAAAUAAAACUCCAGAGGAUAAUUAACAUACCAAACCAUUACUGCAGAAGGGAUAGCAAAGUGGAAGAACUCUCCAAUUCCUCGGAACAACUCCAUUGAAAUUGGAGCCCUGGAUUCUGCACUAGCAGUGGAGAACUUCAUGUAAAUUGCCAAGAAAGUUAGAUUCAACCAAUACGAUAUACCAAUUGCCAAUGUUCCUCCAAGUUUCCCUAGUCCAGACUUGAAUACCAAACCCCAACAGAUGGGAAUAUGCAAACAAAGAGCGGCAUAGGAGCUUAAGAACAUGGGAAUGAUCAAACUUUGAGACUGAAAAUAUCGAAUAAGCGCCUGCAUUGCUGCAUAAGCAAACAGAGCUGGAAGAAGCCAGAUUAUAAACUUGCCUACUUCAUGUGAAAUCCGGGGAUCUUGGCCCACCAAAACUAGCAGCCUUCCCAUGUAAAUCCAUAAAAAGGAAAGCGGAAAACAUACUAAGAAUAAACAAAAUAUUGCAGUGUAAAUUUGAGUUCCAAUUCUUUGAUACUGCUGAGCUCCAUAUGCUUGCCCACAUAAUGUUUCCAGAGCACUUGCCAUUCCUAGCUGUUUCAAAGAAAAUAUUACACAAUUCAAGUUAGCUGUAGAAUAUAUAUAUAUAUUUUUUUUAAAAAGAGCAAAUCAAGUCCUUUAAAAAUUAAUGGCAUUUUUACAAACAGGGUAUUAGUUAAUUGCAUGUUUUUUAACAUCAGAAAUUUGGCAUAUCUAUUUGUUUAAAUCCCACAUGCAAUGAUGCAAAUACCUAUCAAAAGAAAGAAUAAACAAUAUUGUGUAUAUAACUAUAUAUGGAUUACAGGACUCACAAGGACGCUGAAGCCGGUGACGCUAGCUAGAGAGAUGAACAUGGCGGUGCUAGAAAGAGCAAGUUGACCAAGAUGACCAACCAUCAUCAUGGAAACGACUUGAAGCAAAUACUGUGAUAAAGUUACAGCCACCAUUGGUGCUGCUAUGUAACCCUGCUUUUUCACUUCUCCACUCAACAAAUCCCAUGUUGUGGAUGUUGAUGAUAAACUCUCUUUUGGUAUUAAUAAACUCUUUUCCAUAUUCUUUUCUGUAUCGUUGUCUCUCAUGGCCGCCCCUCUCCCUCUCUUUCUCUUGUGUGUAAAAUUUGCAUAGACUUAAGACGGAGAGUUGUUCCGGUCUCGUCAUUUUUCAGGUGUUCGGAUUUAUAAAGAAGAGGUGGAGCCGGGGGACAAAACGUCAUAUAUAUGAAGUUUUCGGGCCUAAAAUGCUAAAAUUGUAAAGUAAAUGAGUCUCACAAAGUUUUCAGGAGAAUAUCAUAAUAUGUCUUCAGUUGGGAUGAUGAUAUGAUACCUCUUCUCGUAUCAAAAACACAGCACCAGCAGGGCUAGCUGGGCACCUAAAACAAACGCCAAACAUAUAAUUAAUCCAUAUCUGACCAGUUGACCAAAUUAAAUAAGAUUACUUGUUAAUUCAGCACUGUUUCAAGAGAUUCCCGUCAAAUACGAUACCUCUUCUCGUUGAAUAUAUAACAGAAUUGUUAAAAAGUCGCAGCAUUAGCUCAUUGAAUUCAACUUAAUUUAAUCGUUUUAGCAGUAUAUAAAAAAUAAGAAGCACGCGUUUUAAGCAUACAUUUUACAAGGCGCAACAUUACGAAGUUAUAAAUCCAAUUGAAAUGAAAAAAAAAAAUGAAGUAAACAACAUGGGAAUCAGAGACUAAUUUUGAAAACAAGGGAAUAUAUCUAAUUCGAUGCUAAACUUCAGGGAUGCCGCUGAAAAUUUUGCUAAUUAAUGUUGCAACUUCUAACAAUUCAAGACCGCCCCCGGCCCUGCGUUAUACAAGCUGCCGAUGGUAAUGGUAUCGCUUAUUAUAGGUUUGUCAUUAUUAAAUUCGCCCGUAACCGAUUGCCUCUUUUUUUUUUUAGUUCGUUCGCUAUAAUUUUUAAUAAUUAGCAAAUCCACCCAUAACAUGUAGUAGUUUUUUUUUUAAUAAAUUUUUAUAUUUAAAAUCAUAAAUAUUAAAAAAUUAUAUUUAAUAAUUUAAAUUAUAUAAUUCAAAAUAUAACUUUAUAGUAACAGACUAAAAAAUCUACAUAAACUACUCAACUUUAGAUUUUAUCAAUGUAAAAGAGAAAUUAAAGUUUCAAUAUUAAAACAAAUACACAAAAUAUAUCAUUCUAACACAAAAUAUUUUUGUUGUAGGCAAAUAAUUAUUACUAAAAUUAAUGCCUUGCUCUAUCUUUUAGUCAAUAUAUAAGUAUUGUCAACAAUAUUAACAAAUAUAUUUUGGACAACUAUUGACCAUUAAUUAGAUAAAUAAAAAUCCAAUCUUAGCCAGCAAUCACUAAGUUCAAGUCAUUAAAGCGAAACAAACAAAAGUAAUUAAAUUAAAUUAAAAUAUCAUUAAUAUUAAACUUGAAAAAUACUAAAUCUACUUAUUAAAAGCUAAUUUUGUGUGUGUGUGCGUGUGUAUACAUUUACAUACAUACAUACUUGAAGGAGUAGGGUGUGCAACUGUCAUGAGUUAGGUUAGGUUUAGGAAUUUGGAAGAUUAGAGUAAUAACUUUAACUACUAUAUUUUUAUGAUUAAAUUUUUUUUAAGACAAUCUUUGUGAUUAAAAUUAAAAACAUAAAUAAUGAAAAAAAUGCCAGUCGGCAGACACCCGCCAAUUUUUUUCUCAAUACUGAAUCCAUCCGUAACCUGCAACGAACUAAAAUUAAAAAUAUCAAACUUAUCCGCAACCUACAAAAUUAUUCGCAGUGGAAAGAUUUUUGUAGAUGGGUUUAGACAAAUUUACAUAUUUACGACUAAUUUUGCCGUACUAAUAGCAGCGAUCAGCUAGAGGAUAGUGGUUUUGGUAUUGUUCUUUAGUUAUAUACACAAGAUAUGUCAAUGUAUUUUUGAACAACUUGCGAGAGAUAACUUCAUUUUAUUUGUAAUCAUACUAUCACAUGAUGUGAAUUAAAUUUUGUCAGUUGCGAAAGAGAAAUUGGCCCAAAAAAAAAGGAGGAUUAGUGAAGUAAUUACUAACAAUUUAUCUUGACAAUAAAAGUUUUUAUUAAAAAGUUGAUGUGGAAAGAGAAAUUAUUAUGGGUCGAAAAAAACCCAGCGCUAAAUAAAAUGUGAAGAUAUGUGUAUGUGGACUGAAAUGAAGAAACUGGAAAAGUUGUGAGUUGUUGUGCAGAUUGACUUCAGUUGAUGGGGUCUAUUUGAUAUCUUCUGCUGACGUGGCAUGGAUUCGUUAUAAUCUGUUAUAACGAGCCCAGCACACUGAUAUAAAACAGAGGCUGAUGGGUGGUGCCUGAUAGAGAGCUAAUAUCGUCUUCAUUAGUUCAUCAUUUUGCAUAGAAUCUGUUCCAUUGUGAUCUGUGCAUAAUCUUCUGUAAAUCACUUGUGAUUGGGUUAGUUCUUGAUCAAUAAUAAUGAGUAAAUUUUCCUUCUAAGUUUGCUGGUCUGUGUCUUUGUUUUGUUUCUGGUAUAGCUUCUCUGUUCUGGCUUUCUUGAUUGGAUUGUGUUCUUGGUGUUUCUACUCAUCAAGAUUUGUGAGUCUUGCUGUGAUUAAAGACUUAAAAGUCUUAACAUAAAAAGUGGAUGAUAUAUAUGUGUGUUUCUGGGCACCAAACAGAUAGUGCAAAGUGCUAGCAAAUUUUAUAGAUCUACUCCUCCAGCCUGGCCGACUUUUACCGCCUAAUAUUAUCUGAAUUUAUUGAAAGCUGUAAAUUACAAAAAUGAAACUGUAAGUUACCUCCGUCAAUUCCACAAAUUAAAUAAUAGGGGACCCAUAAGAUUUNNNNNNNNNNNNNNNNNNNNNNNNNNNNNNNNNNNNNNNNNNNNNNNNNNNNNNNNNNNNNNNNNNNNNNNNNNNNNNNNNNNNNNNNNNNNNNNNNNNNNNNNNNNNNNNNNNNNNNNNNNNNNNNNNNNNNNNNNNNNNNNNNNNNNNNNNNNNNNNNNNNNNNNNNNNNNNNNNNNNNNNNNNNNNNNNNNNNNNNNNNNNNNNNNNNNNNNNNNNNNNNNNNNNNNNNNNNNNNNNNNNNNNNNNNNNNNNNNNNNNNNNNNNNNNNNNNNNNNNNNNNNNNNNNNNNNNNNNNNNNNNNNNNNNNNNNNNNNNNNNNNNNNNNNNNNNNNNNNNNNNNNNNNNNNNNNNNNNNNNNNNNNNNNNNNNNNNNNNNNNNNNNNNNNNNNNNNNNNNNNNNNNNNNNNNNNNNNNNNNNNNNNNNNNNNNNNNNNNNNNNNNNNNNNNNNNNNNNNNNNNNNNNNNNNNNNNNNNNNNNNNNNNNNNNNNNNNNNNNNNNNNNNNNNNNNNNNNNNNNNNNNNNNNNNNNNNNNNNNNNNNNNNNNNNNNNNNNNNNNNNNNNNNNNNNNNNNNNNNNNNNNNNNNNNNNNNNNNNNNNNNNNNNNNNNNNNNNNNNNNNNNNNNNNNNNNNNNNNNNNNNNNNNNNNNNNNNNNNNNNNNNNNNNNNNNNNNNNNNNNNNNNNNNNNNNNNNNNNNNNNNNNNNNNNNNNNNNNNNNNNNNNNNNNNNNNNNNNNNNNNNNNNNNNNNNNNNNNNNNNNNNNNNNNNNNNNNNNNNNNNNNNNNNNNNNNNNNNNNNNNNNNNNNNNNNNNNNNNNNNNNNNNNNNNNNNNNNNNNNNNNNNNNNNNNNNNNNNNNNNNNNNNNNNNNNNNNNNNNNNNNNNNNNNNNNNNNNNNNNNNNNNNNNNNNNNNNNNNNNNNNNNNNNNNNNNNNNNNNNNNNNNNNNNNNNNNNNNNNNNNNNNNNNNNNNNNNNNNNNNNNNNNNNNNNNNNNNNNNNNNNNNNNNNNNNNNNNNNNNNNNNNNNNNNNNNNNNNNNNNNNNNNNNNNNNNNNNNNNNNNNNNNNNNNNNNNNNNNNNNNNNNNNNNNNNNNNNNNNNNNNNNNNNNNNNNNNNNNNNNNNNNNNNNNNNNNNNNNNNNNNNNNNNNNNNNNNNNNNNNNNNNNNNNNNNNNNNNNNNNNNNNNNNNNNNNNNNNNNNNNNNNNNNNNNNNNNNNNNNNNNNNNNNNNNNNNNNNNNNNNNNNNNNNNNNNNNNNNNNNNNNNNNNNNNNNNNNNNNNNNNNNNNNNNNNNNNNNNNNNNNNNNNNNNNNNNNNNNNNNNNNNNNNNNNNNNNNNNNNNNNNNAAAGGAAAGCGGAAAACAUACUAAGAAUAAACAAAAUAUUGCAGUGUAAAUUUGAGUUCCAAUUCUUUGAUACUGCUGAGCUCCAUAUGCUUGCCCACAUAAUGUUUCCAGAGCACUUGCCAUUCCUAGCUGUUUCAAAGAAAAUAUUACACAAUUCAAGUUAGCUGUAGAAUAUAUAUAUAUAUUUUUUUUAAAAAGAGCAAAUCAAGUCCUUUAAAAAUUAAUGGCAUUUUUACUAACAGGGUAUAAGUUAAUUGCAUGUUUUUUAACAUCAGAAAUUUGGCAUAUCUAUUUGUUUAAAUCCCACAUGCAAUGAUGCAAAUACCUAUCAAAAGAAAGAAUAAACAAUAUUGUGUAUAUAACUAUAUAUGGAUUAUAGGACUCACAAGGACGCUGAAGCCGGUAACGCUAGCUAGAGAGAUGGCCAUGGCGGUGCUAGAAAGAGCAAGUUGACCAAGAUGACCAACCAUCAUCAUGGAAACAACUUGAAGCAAAUACUGUGAUAAAGUUACAGCCACCAUUGGUGCUGCUAUGUAACCCUGCUUUUUCACUUCUCCACUCAACAAAUCCCAUGUUGUGGAUGUUGAUGAUAAACUCUCUUUUGGUAUUAAUAAACUCUUUUCCAUAUUCUUUUCUGUAUCGUUGUCUCUCAUGGCCACCCCUCUCCCUCUCUUUCUCUUGUGUGUAAAAUUUACAUAGACUUAAGACGGAGAGUUGUUCCCGUCUCGUCAUUUUUCAGGUGUUCGGAUUUAUAUAGAAGAGGUGGAGCCAGGGAACAAAACGUCAUUUAUAUGGAGUUAUUGGGCCUAAAAUGCUAAAAUUGUAGAGUAAAUGAGUCUCACAAGGUUUUCAGGAGAAUAUCAUAAUAUGUCUUCAGUUGGGAUGAUGAUAUCCCCACGACUCCACCCCAUCGUAAAGUCAAAAGCACAAACGCCAAAUAUAUAAUUAAUCCAUAUCUGACCAGUUGACCAAAUUAAAUAAGAUUACUUGUUAAUUCAGCACUGUUUCAAGAGAUUCCCGUCAAAUACGAUACCUCUUCUCGUUGAAUAUAUAACAGAAUUGUUAAAAAGUCGCAGCAUUAGUUCAUUGAAUUCAACUUAAUUUAAUCGUUUUAGCAGUAUAUAAAAAAUAAGAAGCACGCGUUUUAAGCAUACAUUUUACAAGGCGCAACAUUACGAAGUUAUAAAUCCAAUUGAAAUGAAAAAAAAAAAUGAAGUAAACAACAUGGGAAUCAGAGACUAAUUUUGAAAACAAGGGAAUAUAUCUAAUUCGAUGCUAAACUUCAGGGAUGCCGCUGAAAAUUUUGCUAAUUAAUGUUGCAACUUCUAACAAUUCAAGACCGCCCCCGGCCCUGCGUUAUACAAGCUGCCGAUGGUAAUGGUAUCGCUUAUUAUAGGUUUGUCAUUAUUAAAUUCGCCCGUAACCGAUUGCCUCUUUUUUUUUUUAGUUCGUUCGCUAUAAUUUUUAAUAAUUAGCAAAUCCACCCAUAACAUGUAGUAGUUUUUUUUUUAAUAAAUUUUUAUAUUUAAAAUCAUAAAUAUUAAAAAAUUAUAUUUAAUAAUUUAAAUUAUAUAAUUCAAAAUACUGCUGAUUAAAGUUUCAAUAUUAAAACAAAUACACAAAAUAUAUCAUUCUAACACAAAAUAUUUUUGUUGUAGGCAAAUAAUUAUUACUAAAAUUAAUGCCUUGCUCUAUCUUUUAGUCAAUAUAUAAGUAUUGUCAACAAUAUUAACAAAUAUAUUUUGGACAACUAUUGACCAUUAAUUAGAUAAAUAAAAAUCCAAUCUUAGCCAGCAAUCACUAAGUUCAAGUCAUUAAAGCGAAACAAACAAAAGUAAUUAAAUUAAAUUAAAAUAUCAUUAAUAUUAAACUUGAAAAAUACUAAAUCUACUUAUUAAAAGCUAAUUUUGUGUGUGUGUGUGUGUGUGUAUACAUUUACACUUGAAGGAGUAGGGUGUGCAACUGUCAUGAGUUAGGUUAGGUUUAGGAAUUUGGAAGAUUAGAGUAAUAACUUUAACUACUAAAUUUUUAUGAUUAAAUUUUUUUAAGACAAUCUUUGUGAUUAAAAUUAAAAACAUAAAUAAUGAAAAAAAUGCCAGUCGGCAGACACCCGCCAAUUUUUUUCUCAAUACUGAAUCCAUCCGUAACCUGCAACGAACUUAAAUCUAAACUUAUCCGCAACCUACAAAAUUAUUCACAGUGGAUAGAUUUUUGUAGAUGGGUUUAGACAAAUUUACAUAUUUACGACUAAUUUUUCCGUCCUAAUAGCAGCGAUCGGCUAGAGGAUAGUGGUUUUGCUAUUGUUCUUUAGUUCUAUACACAAGAUAUGUCAAUGUAUUUUUGAACAACUUGCGAGAGAUAACUUCAAAUUUAUUUGCAAUCAUACUAUCACAUGAUGUGAAUUAAAUUUUGUCAGUUGCCAAAGAGAAAUUGGCCCAAAAAAAAAAGGAGGAUUAGUGAAGUAAUUACUAACAAUUUAUCUUGACAAUAAAAGUUUUUAUUAAAAAGUUGAUGUGCAAAGAGAAAUUAUUAUGGGUCCAAAAAAACCCAGCGUUAAAUAAAAAGUGGAUGAUAUAUGUGUGUUUCUGGGCACCAAACAGAUAGUGCAAAGUGCUAGCAAAUUUUAUAGAUCUGCUCCUCCAGCCUGGCCGACUUUUACCGCCUAAUAUUAUCUGAAUUUAUUGAAAGCUAUAAAUUACAAAAAUAAAACUGUAAGAUACCUCCGUCAAUUCCACAAAUUAAAUAAUAGGAGACCCAUAAGAUUUUUUUUAAAAAAAAAAAAUCAUGGGUCCUGUUAUAAGAUUUACGAACUAAAUAACAGGCCCUCUAGGAUCAGAUGUAUUAUUUUAAAAAAAUAUAUUAAAAAAUAAUUUAGUCCAAUUUUUUUAAUAACAAAUUAUAUUUGUGUCCAAUGUGGAUACAUGCACAAAAGGCAAAUGUCUUGUUGACUAAUUGAUCCAUGUCAUGAUCAAUUGAUCAUCAUGCAUGACGCAAAGGUCUUAAAUGUAAAACAAAUGGCAAAUUUUUGAUUAAUUAUUGUAUGGUUAUCUCUGACUGGUUGACCAAAUUAUUGAUCUCAUUGGCUAGCGUACGUUUUAAAUUGGGAAUUGGGUCCACUUAUUUGAGUUUUAAAAAAAAAAUUAUAACAUGUAUGAACUUUUAUUUAUUUACGGUCAAAAUUUAUUUUUUAUUUUAUUUUUACUUAAUCACUACCAAUCACAUAAUUAAUUUUUUUAUAUAAAAGUUUUGAUCAGGAGAAAAUAAUAUCCUUUAAAUUAACCUCAAAAUGCGGUUGCACACAGCGUAAAAAAAUAUUUAAUUAAAGUCAUCGCACUAGUUCUUUGAAUUCAUCAUUAAUCGUUUUAUUAAUGGAAAAUUGAAGCUUUCUGCUCAAGAAAGUGCAUACCAUAAAUCACUAUAAAUUCAGAAACAUAUGUAAUGAGUUAACAGCCAUACACAACAUCGAUCAGAAAAACCGAUAAUUCAAAUUCAAUCUUAGAAUUAUCAUGGCUGAAGUGAAGCUUCAUGGGGCCCUGCCGAGUCCAUUUGUUUACAGGGUGAUUUGGGCUCUGAAAUUGAAAGGCGUGCCAUAUGAAUUUGUUUCCGAAGAUCUCUCAAACAAAAGUGCAUUGCUUUUGAAGUAUAAUCCAGUUCACAAGAAGAUCCCAGUGCUCGUCCAUGGCGGAAAACCAGUUUGUGAGUCCAUGGUUAUUCUCGAAUACAUCGAAGAGACGUGGCCACAGAAUCCCUUGAUGCCAAAUAAUCCUUAUGAUAGAGCUCUUGCUCGAUUCUGGAUUAAAUUCGCCGAAGACAAGGUUCGCUCACAACUCUG
rnacentral:lncRNA from 1 species